ACCACCACGCCUCCCCGCCUAAGAAGAGGCGCGGGCAGCACCACCGCGGCCCCCUUGUUUCGGCACGACCAACAACUCGUGCAAGGCAGGAUGCGGGCCACGGGUCAGCAACACCGUCUGACCGAGCAACAAGCACGAGGGCUCAGCACCACGCGACGACGGGGGGAGACGCGUCUCGCUCACCCUCUCCCACCGCAGCUAGGCUACCCCCGCGCGGGUCGUUCUCUCAAAGGACGGCACUGCCGUUCGGAUUGGACAACGCCGCGGCAUCGCUCGCCAAGACGAUAUGCCCGAACGAUCAGACGUACGUGGAAAGACCAACGGUCAUCCCACGUAGUUUCGAAGAGCGACGGCCGACAUCCGAACGGCCGGACCUUUCCCAAGUGCGAGGCCUCCGCCGCCUAGGCCCCGGGCGAUACUCGAUUACCUCCCUCGAGCAACGAUGGUCGGAGGAAGGACGCGGACGUUCCCACACUGCCGAACCAGACUCCGACUCCGAGACAGACAGCUACGACCCUACGAGGGAAUGCUAUCACCUCGAUGGAGUAGCAGAAACCACUGAUGAGAUACGGGACGUCGUUGCGGGUGGACAAGCCCCCGCGGCGCAAGAAGACCCCAGGACGCCUGGGAACGGCGGAAGGUUCGAUCCUCUUCCUCAGGAAGAUAGAACUGCGCAGCUCGCGCAGCUACGGGAGCUCAAGAUGAAGCUCGACGAAGAUCGCGAGCGCCUCGACCUGCUCGAGCAAAUCCUCGAACAAGACCUGCCCUACCUGCCAGGCGGAAGUGUCCGCAGACGCGCUCGAGAGGUACAUCGACAGAUCGUCGGUGACGCGGAGGCGGAGCAACCUGUCGGCCGCUUCCCUCGAGCAGGCCAGAAUGUGGUAGCAGCGACAAUGCUGCUGCGUAACAUGCCAGAACCAUCGAAUUCCCAGGCCCGACGAAUUCGAGACGAAGUUCAGACGUUGCUCCAGGUGGCAGCGGUUCAACAAGCCGAAAGUUCAGCAUCUCGACGGCGAGGGGCUGCCACAGAGAAACGCAACGAACAGCCUCUAAUUGAAGAGGAGGUGUCUGUCCAGCAACAACCUCCCCCUCGAGGCAGAAAAACCGCUCUCAUCCUCCCUGCCGACAAUCAACGUCAAUACGACGCGCGACACGACGUCAAAGAAAGUAGACGCCGACGGCACGGAGACGCGGAAGAACGUGGUUAUAGCGCGCACCGCGGUGGGAGGUACGACAGCGACGAGGACAGGGUGGCCCCCGAGCCACCAGGCCCGCGGGUGUUCAGCAGAGCGAUUCGCAGCACGCCCCUGCCUAGUCCGUUCCGACCCCCAACCAGCAUCGCGAAGUACAAUGGAGAAACCAAGCCAGAACUCUGGCUGGCCGACUUCAGGUUGGCCUGUCAGCUAGGUGGCGCUCGGGGGGAUGAUCGAGCCAUCAUCAGACAGCUACCCCUUUUCCUCUCCGACACCGCCCGUCGAUGGCUCGAGGAGCUCCCAGCCAAUCAGAUUCACAACUGGGUCGACCUGGUCAGAGUCUUCGAGGGUAAUUUCAAGGGGACCUAUAUACGGGCAGGGAACUCGUGGGACCUCAGCAAAUGCAAGCAGAAGUCAGGAGAGACUCUUCGGGAGUACGCUCGACGCUUCUCGAAGCAGCGCACUGAGUUGCCACACAUUCCCGACCACGACGUCAUCUUGGCAUUCGUCUCGGGUACCACCAGUCGGGACUUGGUGCGGGAAUUAGGCCGCAAUCGACCUCAGACCGUCGACGAGCUGAUGGACGUAGUAGCAAACUACGCGGCAGGGGAGGAGGCAGUCGGCGCUUUCUUCAGCUCAGAAGGAAGAAAAGGCAAGCAGCCCAUCGAUGAAGAAAGGACUUCCGGUCGAGGCCUCAAGAAAAAUAAAAAGAAGCAGAAAGUACGGCAAUUCCACCAGGGAGAUUCGGAGGACGACCUCGUCGCCACGGUGGAUCGGAAGAAGCCGCGAGGCCCUCCGGAAGGAGGCAUCUUCGACAAGAUGCUGGAGGAGCCGUGCCCUUACCAUAAGGGGGGCGCUAACCACAAACUCAAGGAUUGUCGCAUGCUGAGAAAGCAUUUCGACGGUCAGGGGCUCAAAAAAGAUGCGCGUGAUGACUCCAAGAAGGAGAAGGCAGGCGGCAAGGAGGACAACAAAGAUGACGACGGUUUCCCCGCCGUCCACGACUGCUACAUGAUCUAUGGCGGGCCUUCGACUCAGUUGACCACGAGGCAGCGCAAGAGGGAGCGUCGCGAAGUCUUCGCGGCAAGGAUGGCGGUGCCCCAGUACCUCAGCUGGUCAAGCACUCCCAUCACCUUCGACCGAGAAGAUCACCCUGACAAGGUGGUUGCCCCAGGCGUCUACCCGCUCGUCGUCGACCCCAUCAUCAUCAACACCCGACUCUCGAAAGUGCUGAUGGAUGGUGGCAGCAGCCUCAACAUCAUCUACCUCGAAACCCUCGACCUCCUCGGCAUCGACAGAGGACGCCUCCAGCCAAGCGCCGGCGGUUUCCAUGGCGUCGUACCAGGGAAAAAGGCACUACCGGUAGGUCGAAUCGACCUACCGGUCUGCUUCGGCACGGCGGCCAACUUCAGGAAAGAAACCCUCACCUUUGAGGUGGUCGGGUUCCGAGGCACGUACCACGCCAUCAUCGGGCGCCCGGGCUACGCCAAGUUCAUGGCUAUACCCAACUACACGUACUUGAAGCUCAAGAUGCCUGGCCCCAAAGGCGUCAUCACCGUCAGCUCCUCCUUCGAGCACGCAUACGAGUGCGACGUCGAGUGCGUCGAGUACGGGGAGGCGGUCGAGAGCUCCACCGAGCUCGUUGCAAAGCUCGAGGCCAUGGCCGCUGAGGCUCCAGAACCUAAACGUCAUGCGGGCAGCUUCGAGGCGGCGGAAGGAACUAAGAAGAUCCCGCUCGACCCCAACAACUCCGACGGCAAGGUGCUGACGAUCAGCACCGACCUCGACCCCAAAUAGGAAGCCGUGCUCGUCGACUUUCUCCGUACGAAUGCUGAUAUGUUUGCAUGGAGUCCCUCGGAUAUGCCGGGCAUACCAAGGGAAGUCGCCGAGCACUCCUUGGAGAUUCGAGCCGGUUCCAAGCCAGUGAAGCAGCGGUUGCGCCGAUUCGACGAGGAAAAGCGCAAGAUCAUUGGCGAGGAAAUCCACAAGCUUUUGACGGCCGGAUUCAUCAAGGAGGUUCAUCAUCCUGACUGGUUAGCGAACCCUGUAUUAGUUAAGAAAAAGAAUGGGAAAAUGAGGAUGUGUGUCGAUUAUACUAGUUUGAAUAAAGCAUGUCCGAAAGUUCCUUUUCCAUUACCACGCAUUGAUCAGAUUGUCGAUUCUACCGCGGGAUGUGAGACCCUUUCUUUCCUUGAUGCUUAUUCCGGUUACCAUCAAAUAAAAAUGAAGGAGUCCGACCAGCUCGCGACCUCUUUCAUCACGCCUUUUGGGAUGUAUUGUUACGUGACCAUGCCAUUCGGGCUUCGAAACGCCGGAGCCACGUAUCAACGUUGCAUGCUCCACGUUUUUGGCAAACACAUAGGGUCGACGGUCGAGGCCUACGUCGACGACAUUGUCGUCAAGUCGAAGCAACGAGGAGACCUGAUCCAGGACCUCGAGGUCGCCUUUAGCUGCUUACGCGCUAGCCGGAUCAAGCUCAAUCCCGAGAAGUGCGUUUUCGGCGUGCCUCGAGGCAUGCUCUUAGGAUACAUUGUUUCACAGCGCGGUAUCGAGGCCAAUCCCGAGAAAGUCUCGGCCAUCAUGAAAAUGGGGCCAAUCCGAGACAUCAAGGGUGUCCAGAGAGUCACGGGGUGCCUGGCGGCUCUGAGCCGUUUCAUCUCGAGACUAGGAGAAAAAGCAUUACCAUUGUAUCGACUCCUGAAGAAGGUCGACCAUUUUUCUUGGACCCCCGAGGCCGAGGAAGCACUCGAAAAAUUAAAGAAGACGCUGACCUCGGCACCAGUCCUGGUUCCACCUCAACCUGCGGAGCCUCUACUCCUCUACGUCGCGUCGACGGCCCAGGUCGUCAGCGCGGCGGUGGUGGUCGAAAGGCCAGAGGAGGGUCGCGCGCUGCCGGUCCAAAGGCCAGUCUAUUUCGUCAGCGAGGUGCUUUCGGAGACCAAGGCGCGAUACCCCCAAAUCCAGAAGUUAAUCUACGCCGUAAUCCUUGCCCGCCGCAAAUUACAACAUUACUUCCUGGGUCAUCCUAUAACGGUGGUCUCUUCUUUCCCUUUGGGCGAGAUAAUCCAGAGCAGGGAAGCCACGGGAAGGAUAGCGAAGUGGUCGGUCGAGCUCAUGAGCGAGACUCUCACUUACGCGCCUCGAAAGGCCAUCAAAUCGCAAGCCCUGGUAGACUUCGUCGCGGAAUGGACGGACUCCCAGCUUCCCCCGACUCAGGUCCAGGCGGAGCUGUGGACAAUGUAUUUCGACGGGUCACUCAUGAAAACGGGGGCAGGGGCCGGCCUAUUACUCAUCUCACCCUUGGGCGUCCACAUGAGAUACAUAAUCAGGAUUCACUUCGCCGCAUCUAACAAUGUCGCGGAGUAUGAGGCCCUCGUCAACGGUCUCAAGAUCGCUAUCGAGUUAGGAGUCCGACGCCUCGACGUCCGAGGCGACUCCCAACUCGUCAUCGACCAAGUAAUGAAAGCCUCGAGCUGCCAUGACCCAAAAAUGGAAGCAUACUGCAAGGAGGUACGUCGACUCGAAGACAAAUUCCACGGCCUCGAGCUCGUCCAUGUCGCUCGACGCUACAACGAGGCAGCCGACGAACUCGCCAAGAUUGCAUCUACCAGAGGCACAGUGCCGCCGGAUGUAUUCUCAAAGGAUCUACACGAGCCAUCCGUCGACCUAGGCACGGGGGCUGGCGUCGAUACCACCAUCGCCCGACCAACCAAUGCUGUCGAUGCGCUCUUGAUGGAGGAAGAGGUGAUGGAAAUAGAACGACGACCGGGUCGACCAUUCGAUUGGCGCACACCGUUCCUCGACUGCCUUAUCCGCGGUGAGUUGCCAGAAGACAGGACAGAAGCUCGUCGUAUCGCUCGACGGGCCAAAUCAUAUGUGAUCUAUGGUGAAGACAGCGAGCUAUAUCGACGGAGCCCGACGGGGAUCUUGCAGCGUUGCAUCACCAUAGAGGAAGGCCGAAAACUCCUCGACGACCUGCACUCGGGGGCUUGUGGCCACCACGCCGCCCCACGGACCCUUGUAGGAAACGCUUUUCGGCAAGGCUUUUACUGGCCAACGGCCGUAGCGGAUGCCAUCGAGCUCGUACGCUCGUGUCAUGGAUGCCAAUUCUACGCCAAACAGACGCACCAGCCCGCCCACGCUCUUCAGAUGAUCCCCAUCACCUGGCCGUUUGCGGUGUGGGGGCUCGAUUUAGUAGGACCUCUACAAAAGGCGAAAGGAGGGUAUACCCAUUUGCUGGUGGCUAUUGACAAGUUCUCCAAAUGGAUCGAGGCUCGACCCAUCACUAACAUCCGCUCCGAGCAGGCCGUCCUUUUCUUCUCCGACAUCAUCCACCGAUUUGGGAUCCCCAAUGUCAUCAUCACCGACAACGGCACCCAGUUCACCGGCAGAAAGUUCUUGGAUUUCUGCGAUCAGCAUCACAUCCGUGUGAACUGGUCCGCAGUAGCCCACCCUCGAACUAACGGCCAGGUCGAGCGUGCCAACGGCAUGAUUUUGCAAGGACUCAAGCCAAGGAUCUACAAUCGAUUGAAGAAAUUCGGCAAGAGAUGGGUCGAGGAGCUUUCCUCGGUCCUAUGGAGCCUAAGGACAACGCCGAGCAGGGCCACCAAAUACACCCCGUUCUUCAUGGUCUACGGCUCUGAGGCUGUCCUCCCCACAGACCUCGAGUAUGGGUCACCUCGACUCAAGGCUUACAAUGAGCAAUCGAACAAAGAAGCUCGAGAAAACGCGGUCGACCAACUCGAGGAGGCUCGAGACAUGGCCCUCCUCAACUCUGCUAGAUAUCAGCAGAGACUCCGACGCUACCACGACAAGCACGUGCGCAAGAGGGACCUCAACGUAGGCGACCUUGUCCUACGACGCCGGCAAAGCAACCAAGGACGCCACAAGCUAACCCCACCUUGGGAAGGCCCAUAUGUGGUGGCCGAGGUCCUUAAGCCAGGAACGUACAAAUUGGCGGACGAAAAGGGGGCAGUCUUCACCAACGCAUGGAACAUCGAACAGCUACGUCGAUUCUACCCCUAGAAGUCCUAGAUUUACGAUCUUACUUUUUGUACGAAGACUUUGUAAAUGAACGCAUGAAUAAAUAAAGUCUCCCCCUCGAGCAGUUUCUUUCUGUACCAAAAAUAGUUACGAAUUAUAGUCUCAACGUUAAAAGGGGAUGCCGACCAUGACCCAUCAUGGUCCGCACCCCCUCGGGGGCUACCAGAGGGACGACCCCUCCCCAAGCGUCGAAAAAGCCAAAAAGUUUCUCUCUUUCCUACUUAGUAAACCUUGAACGAUCGAGCAGUCGAGGCGCCUCGAGCCCCUCGAGGACCGAAGGAUAGCGAGCCUGAGAACACCUACGCCCCCGGGCUAUGGAAACUCUACUCACUCCCUCACCCUCGAGGCGAUCGAAGCUGUGUUUUACGAAAAAUCAAACAAGGAACACAUGUGUAGGCACAAAAGAAAUAAACCCCGAGUGGAAAGACAAACAAACAUUUAACAACCACAAAAAUACUGUAUCGCUUAGAAACAGGAUUAACUAAGUUUUAUACAAGGGGCCCCAGGCACCCCGAGCAGGCUCGCAGGCCUCAGUCCAUGGUACGAUCCUCGCCACCCUCACCUCCGCCCGAGCCAGCCUCAGGAGGGAGCACCUCAGGCUCGAAGAGUUUGGCCAACCUUUCUCCAGGAGCCUCCGCAUCGUCGAUCAAGGCAUGGAGCCUCUCUUCGUUCUCCGCGUCGGUCUUGGAGAUGUCGGUGACGAAGCCAUGAGACACCACCUCCAUGUCGUAGGAGAAGCCCGAGCAGACGACCGCCAUCGCCCGCUUUACCCCGACAUGGAGGGCAUCCCGCACCCGAUCUCGCAGUGCUGCGCCUAUGUAGCACAACUGGUCGAUCAGGGCGUCGCCUCGGGCGUCCUCCCUCGACUCAUCCAUAGGCUCGACCUCCCAAGAGGUCGAGAGAUCGCUUAUCGCCGUCCGCACUCGACGGUUCAAAGCAACCUCAGCCUCGAGUUGGGCCUUGGCGUUGCGAGCCUCGGCUUGGGCGGCCAGGAGUUCGUCUUUGAGCCCUACAAAUACCAAUACAAAGGAGCUUUAGGAAAAACUCAAGCACACCUCGAAAAGGAAAUUCGACAAAGGGAACAUACCUUUGAUGCUCUCCUCUAGAGCCGUGUUCUCGCCAACCAAUCUGGUAUUGGCACGCUCGAUCUCUCUGUUGGAGCGCGUCAGCUCAGUAUUGGCGACGCGGAGAUCUUCGAUCACCUUGCCAGCCUGAGCGACGGCUCCACUCUUCUCUAGCAGUUCUCCCUUCAGACGCUCGACGUCGUCAGAGAGACCGCGGGAUCGAGCUCGCUCCAUCUCGAGGUCUUCGAGGGCUUUCUUUUUUGCGUCCUCGGCGGCACCCCUGGCGACCUCAUUGUCCACGUACGCCACCUUCAUCUUCUGGAAGGUAUCGCGGAGGGAGUCCAGGUCGGUUUGGAGAAGGCCCUUCUCCUUGUCCAGGUCCGCGAUGGUGCUCUUGUGGGACAGGACCUCCUCCCGGGCUCUGGAUGCGGCCUCCUCGACCGAAAGAGCCCGCUCCCGUAGCCGCACCGCCUCCUCCUCCGCCUUCUUCGAGACCUCUCGGGCCUCGGCCAAAGCAGCCUCCCUCACCUUCUUCUCCUCCUCGAGUGUUAUAAGAUCUUUGUAAGCUUUAAGUAGCUUUUCCUGCGACUCGAGGAGUUGAUCCUUGAGGAGGGGAAGCUGCUCCCAUCCGCCCCUCGUGGCGUGAAUGAAGCUAGAUUUGAUGCGAGAAGUCUCUUUCAUAUCCUACGAAUCAAGAAUCAGGAGGAUUAGAACAUAGAAACCCAGAAGCACCACCAAGAUUGGAGCUCGAGAAACGCUUACAAAAUAGGCUGGGCCAAGCCCGUUGUUGAUGACGUCCGAUAGGAGCCCCACCACAUGUUUCAUCCAAAGGCGGAGCUCCUCGACGUGCUCCCACUUCUCGACCUCCUUCUUGUCGUCGAGGAAGAUAUUGGGCUCGGACGGGUCGCUGGAAGCUCGGAUACGAAUCCGAUCGGGACACCAGUUCUCCAUCUCCCGAUCGGCCCGCACCUUGACGCCGCGGAGAAAGUUCUCGACGGUCUCGAGGGAACCCCCGUGGCGCAAGAACAGGUCGGCGAGGCAAGGGAACCUCCCGUCGUCAUCCACCGUUUUCCACGUACCGUCCUUACUCCCAGACGACCCGAUCUCGUCCUCCUCAGAGGGGAAGCGGUCCUCCCACGCUCGACGCUCCCGGAGGAACCCUGGGGCGAUCCCGUCCAUGCCGUAGAGUGUCCUCUUGAUCUCGGACUCAGGGUCGGUGGGGGUGCGCAUCAUGCAGGCGAGCGCCACCACUCCGUCCGCUCGCCCCGAUUCUGCCCGGAUCGCGGCAGGCGCCCCCGGGAGAAGCCACGCCGGGGUGGGAGGCCCGUACACCGGCAGAUCUCCCUCUUGAUCGCCGGGCUCUUGCGACGCCUGUAGCGCCGGUCCGGCCAAAAGUUGAGGCGGGGGCUCGAGUGGCUCGUUCUCUUGGCCCCCCAGCUGCUGUUGCCGCCCCAGCUGCUGCUGCCGCUCGUCAUGCUGAAGCUGCAGUUGCUUCUCUGGCUGGGGUUGCUGCUGCUGCUGCUCCAGUGACGGCUGCUCCGCCUCGCGAUCCCGCGCCUUCUCCUCCUCCAUCUUCCUCUGCGUCUCGAGGGCUCGAAGGCCUGCGGGCCAGGUGGUCCGUCCUGCGACGUUGGGAGUCGACGCCUCUUCCUCCAUGGGUCGAACGCCCCCAGAUGCGUCGUUACCAUCAGACGUAUCGCUGAUGGUGAUGGGCUCCCCCUCGACCCCCAAUCGAGAGGGCUCGGGGGCUGCCUCCGACGCUCGUGUCUGGGGGGUCGCAUCAUGAGUUGGUGGCGGCGGAGUAGGCGCGGGACGAGGCGUAGCUAUCUCGACGCCGGCUGAAGGUUGGGCGCUCGACGGGCCUGCAAAACAAAGAGUAAGAGUCAGACGUUAUGAUAACCGACAUAAUAAUAUCGUGACACCCGGGAAUUAACUACAAACCUGGUUCCGUUGAGGCGGCGCCCGUUCUGAGCCUCUUGGCCAUCGAUGGCUGGGCCUGCUCGAGGGUCCGUUUCAGCCUGAGAAAAAGUAAGCAUGUGAGGAAAGGCGAGAGAAUGAGGGGACAAAGAACGCAAUAACAAAAGGGCUUACCCCACGGGCAGGACGGCUCGCCUUCCGCUACCCCGACCAGCGGGCCUCGAGCCACCCCGCGUCGGGGCGCUAGGCCCCUCGAGGGCAGAGACUGGCCUAGGCACAUCGGGUCCCGCUUGGCGGGCGCCGGGACUUGCGCUCCUACGGCCGGCGUCUCCCUUCUCAGAAGCCGCAGCGCGACCGCGGGUCAGCGGCCUCGACGCCUGGGGUCUUGCCGGACCACUCUCCUUGGGCGCCAGGGGAGGGCGCGGUGCGUCCCGGCCCGCCUUGAGCGCGGAAGGAGCGUCGGGCCGGGGACGACGAGACCCGCUCGGACCCUCAUCCGGCACCUCCGUCUGGGGGGUGUCGACGUCAUCUCGAGGGGGUCCCUCGAGGAGCCGAUCGAGACGCGACGCCAUCCCCUCGGAGUCGUCGCUACUCUCGUCGUCAUCAUCGUCAUCAUUGGGGGAUUCUUCCUCAGGCUCCCCCCUCUGCCUGGAUUUGGCUCGACGCGCCUCCAAUGCUUGGCGCUCGAGAUUCUUCUUCUUCUCCCCCUUUUUCGCGGAGUCCUUGGCAGACUUCGACUUCUCGGCGGAUUGGCGUCGUUUGUCGCGAUCGACCUCGUCCUCCUUUACUGGAGGCCUCGAGGACCGGACGUCAAUCCGGCCCUGCCAAAACUAAGGUAGACUUAGAAAAAAGAGAGGGGAGGGGGGCAAAACCUAGAAUCGAGGAUGCGCGCAAGAAGAAAGCGUACCAGAUCGAUCGAGCCCGCGUCGGGUCGCAUGGGGAAGCCGUUGACGUGUUCCGGCUUGAAAUCACCGGCGAUUGCGGCCCUGACUCGGGCCGCGACUUCAUCAUCCGUCGGAGGCUCGCUGGACAUCCGACAUGCCUCGAGGUCCCGAGACGAGACGCCAGGGCCCAUCUCGUCCAUCCUCAGCGGUCGUGACAUCAGAGGAAGAACUCUCCGAUGAUGGACCGCCGAGAGGACGAGGGCGGCGGUCAAACCUUCCUGGCGAAGCUUCUUCAGGGCGUCGAGGAGAGGGUCGAGCCGAGGCUGAUGAGCUUGGACGACGCCGUACGUCCAGUCCGCUGGGCGCUCCAAGAUCAGACGGCCCGAGUAGGGAGGUAGGAGGUUGUCGUCGUUGCGCAGGUAGAACCAUUGAGAAUCCCAACCGGCAUGGUUGGUCGACAACCCUACCGGGAUGUACUCCCGCGGCCGGUCCGUCUUCCCCGUCUUCUGCACCAGGUUGAGGCAACCCGCUCGCACGGGUUUCCUCACGCCCGUGGUUCCGGUGGAGGCGUGGAACAGCUCGCCCCUGUAGAGGUGGAGCCACAGCUCCCAGUGCGGCAUCAUCCCUAGGAAGCCCUCACACACGGCGGCGAAGACCGCCGCCACGGUGAUGGCGUUCGGAGAGAAGUGCUGCAGCUCCACCCCAUAAUGGAAGCAGAGGGCCCGCAUGAAGCGGCUUGGAGGCGCGCCCAGACCAUGGCGGUGAAACUUGGCGAAUGACACCACGUAGCCCUCGGGCGGCUGAGGCGCCCUGUGGCUCGCCGGCGGCGCGAUCCACUCCGGCGACGACAGCGAGGUGCGGCGGCGCAGCAGUCCCUCCUUCUCAAGCUCCAACAGCCGGCGCUCCGUCAUCGACGACGGGCGCCAGUCGUCGGCGGCAACGAGUCUUACAGGCAUCUCGGCUAAAGGGACGGCGAGUUCGCUACAGCUCGAGGGGGCGUAGGCGCGUGAGAUGGCAAGAAGGCAAAGGCAGCGAAGGAACAAGAGCAAGAAGGCGGAAGAGAGAGGAACGGCGGUGCCGCGACGACGUAUUUAUAGGCAGCCGUCCGCCAACGGACAGAUCCGAGAAGUAAGGUAACCCCCCCAUAAAUGCGCCGCCUGACAGUUCUCUCUCUCUCCUCACAGGCCGGACUCUCCGAAUUCCUCGCCGAUACGGUGUUGUAACGUCAUCCGCCUAAAAAGACGCGCCCAACGGGCAGAAAGGCGAACCGCCACGGCCGUUUCCUUCCCUCGUAAGCCAAGAGACAUAACCGCAAAAGUCUUGAGAGGUCGAUGGCUGGCCCGCCGAAAGGGUUCGACAGCCGAUCUCGAGCGCCAGAGUCAGGGAUCCCCAGCGAGCGGUCGAAGAUCGAGGCCCGCCUCGAGGACUUGCUGGCGAUGUUCAAGGUAGGGUCGAGACAGUCGAGAGGAAUCCCCCCGAAGGGAGGCAUCGAGCCGCUGGACUCUAUCGAAUGAGACCGGUAUCCCCGACCACGUCGACCCUGCUUUAUGAGGACGCCUCCGGGCUACAGCUGACCCCCUCGAAAGGGGCACAGGUUCUCACUUGGACUACCCGCUAGGAACUCAAUUUGGGGUGGAAGACGCUCGCUCUAUCGAGAGUACGUCAAAGCCCCCGGGCAAAAACGAGCUAGACAGAACCUUCCACCACUGGUGUCGAAAGCGCUUCUGCGAAUUAGAUAACAUAACCCUCGAAGGAAUUAAAAACUCCUCCGAGGGCUCGGGGGCUACCCCGCGGGGUCGCUCGCGCGCCCCCACGAAAUUUCAACCGUAAAUCAAAAACCUCCAUUCGAGCGCUAGCGCUCAAAUGGAGGCUCGGGGGCUACUGUCGAGGAUAUCGGUAAGGGGUACCCUCAGCGAUGCGCAUUAUGAGAUUGCCCGUACGAAGGUUGGGACCCUCAAUUCGACGCUUUAAUCUUACGUACGCGCCGCCAUCGACGGUCGCAGCCUCGAAGACGGAAAUAGCGUCGAGCGAAUCGGUCAGGGCUCGAGCGACGAUUACCGUCGAAGACGGGAGCGAGCUCGAGCGAACCGAGAGACGUCGAGCGUCAGGACACUGUCCGCCGCCUGACGCGCGCACGCGGGCGGGAGCAUUAAAUGCAUCUGACGUUUCCCACCUAACACACGGGUCACGGAAAGCGUGAUAGGGAACAAGCUUCUGUCCCAUCGUUCUUUUUGCAGCCUUCCCACCGAACGACCCAGGGUGUGUCAGGACGCAGGAAACGAGGAUGGAACGUCUAAUCGGGACCCCCUCGAGACACCCAAGGUCAGCGCCCCGGAUAUCAGCAUAUUACGCGGCGCCCGACCCUCGACCGAACAAGGUCCCUUCCCAGGGACAAGCCGGGUGUCGACUGACAACACCACGGCUGCUCCGCCGGAUCCGCCACCAUACCGUACAAGCAUGCGACCUCAGAACCAGCACAAGGCGGCUGGCAGGGCAGAACACAGGAGCACGCGCAAUCAUCACCGAGCUAUCAAGAUGGGACGGCUCGAGGCCAUGCCGUACGGAAGCCUCGAGUAGGUCAGCGCUCCAUGCGGCUAUCGAUCCCUACUCUAACAUCUAUACAUGUACCCUGUGACUCUCCUUGGAGCUAUAAAAGGAGGGACUCAGGAAUAGGAGGGGAUAUAGAUCACAACACAAAGAACACACCCAUACGUAGAAGAGCUCCACAUUUCACUCCACGCUUGUAUUCGCCCCUGUACAAGCACUUAGGUGCAAGAUAAUACAAACUCUCUCCCCCCGCUGGACGUAGGGCUUUCUCUUGCCCGAACCAGGAUAAAUCUCUGUGUCUCCUUGCAUCACCAUCCGGAAAGGGGAGCACGCAUACAAAUUUACUCGUUGGUGUGACCCCCCCGGGGGAAAAACACCGACAGUUGUCGAUCAGUGGCAUAGAGCGUCGACGGUUGAAGCAAUGUGUGCUUGAAAGUGACUCUCUUGCUACGAGGCUCAACACUAUACGGAUGUGUUGUACGGAGUUGUUAAAGAUGCAGUGGAGGGUACUAUUGCAAUUGAAGUUCUACAAUGAGACUUUAAUGGAAAAAUCAUUGCCCAGACCACCAGUAUCCUAAACACCAUUGUACUUUACGAUAGUCAAGUGGUUGGUGACAUGGUUGGUGAUGGUACUGGUGCUAUGGAGCUUAUGCGAUCCAUCGUAUCUGUCUAUGUGAGGGAUAAGCUGUUAAUUGUUACCGAAACUAGUAUGGAAAGUCUAACGAACCAUUAAUUUUAUUCCCAAGAUCAUCGGUAGAGAAGAAGUCAUCAUAACUAUUGGUGUCAAUUAGAUACGCAUGAAGGUUGCUUGGUCGACAAUGGACUUUUAAGUGAGCUCUUUGCACCUUAAGGUUUGAUGAUGACUGGAUCUGUAUGACUCGGUGUAACAUUAGAGUAGCGAUGUUAGGAUGAGUAUGUAUUGGGUCCUAAAUAAGUAUUGCCUAACAUGUUGAACCUAUAUGUUGAAUGAACUUGGGCCUGCUGUGUUGAACUAUUGUCUAACAUGUUCGGCCUGCUAUGUUGAACUAUUGGCUAACUUGUUGUGCUUUUAUCUUGUUGUAUAUCAUGAACGUGUGUGAUACUAAUGUGCUUCACUUGACAAAAUUGUUAUUAUGUAUUCUUUGGUGUUAGGUGAGUUGGCAUCCUUCAAAUUCAUGCUAUCUGCCAUGUCAUAUAAAGGUUUUGACAACAGUGGUAGCCUUGUUUAGAUGCCAAAAGUUUUUAAAGUUUGACACUGUAGAACUUUUGUUUGUAUUUAACAAUUAUUGUCCAACUAUAGAGACUAACUAGGCUCAAAAGAUUCGUCUCGCAAAUUACAUGCAAACUAAGUUAUUUUUUAUCUAUAUUUAAUGCUCCAUAUAUGCGUCCAAAAAUUCGAUGUGAUGGGAAAUCUUGUAAACUUUUGGAAUUUUGGGUGCAUCUAAACAAGACCAAAGUUAGACUAGAAUCUCUAUGACAAUAUUUUCAAGUCUGUUACUCGAUCUUCACAGCUUAGACAGAAACAAUGGGCAAUCUAGGAAGUAGGAAAUAUGAACAUACAAGUGAGAGUGUGAGACAAAAUUGCAAUCCCUGCUCCCUGGGCCCUUACCACCUGUGUUGAUAAAAAAGGAAAAUUAGCCUGGGUUGGGCUGGCUUCAACCGUAGUUGGGCUCGCAGGAACGGUGGCUUCUCUCUGAGUGGCCCGUUAAAGGAAAGUCCACCACAGCUGGACUUUGUCUUCCGGCCUCCCGAAAAUGAUUGUUCCACUAGAGUUGUGCCGUUGUAUGUUACACGAGUACGGGUACGAGUAUCUGAUACAAUACGUAUCGGAUAUGUGGAUACACAUUUUUUCAAAAGAAAAUCUACUAAAAUAGUGUAUCCGAGUAUCCGUAUCUAUGUAUCCGACGAGUAUCGGAUACGGAUAUGUCACCCCCUUGGAGUAUCUGUGUAACAUAGGUGCCGUUUGCUUAAAAAAAACAUCUCACACCCACAAUGGCACUAUUACCGAAACGACUAGUAAGGUCUCAUUUGAAUUGUCGCGGUAAAUUUUAACUCUCGUUAUAUCAAAUAUUUAUAAAAUUAAAACAUAACUAAAAAAUAAUUUACGAGAUAAAUCUUUUGAGCCUAAUUAGUCUAUGACUGGACAUUAAUUACCAAAUAAAACAAAAUUACUAUAAUAUCUAUUAAAUUUUAAUAGCUCCAAACAAACUAGCCCUAAAAUUCGUUGCCGUACCUGCCUUUGUGCAAGGGUCUCCAGAAACCAAAUAUUUCCAAAGACGGGCCAAACAUCAACCAGCUCUGGAAAUGAAUUUCCAGGGGCUAGCGACAUUACCGUCCGCCUCUGGAAAUGAAUUCCAAAGGAGUUUGGUAAGACCAACCGUCCCUCAAAACAAUUUUCCUUUUCUUCUCUAAGUUUUAUAUUUAGUUUUAUAGUUCUAAAAUACAAGUAAUCUUACAAUCCUACGUACAAGUAGUCUCAUAAAUCUACGUUCAAGUCAUCACGUAAAUUCACAUACAAGAAGUCUCAUAAAUUUGGGAUCAAACCAACGGCUCGAGCGAUAAACGCUCCAUGGAGGAGCGACUGGUCAUGGGUUCAAGCUCUGCUCGACUCACGAUUCUCACCGCGGUUUUCCCCCAUAUUAUCUGAUACAAACUCUCUCAUGUGGAACUAAGAGAUAGCGACGUGUCCAUCAUCUACCGAGCCUUAGAUGGUUUUGGUGAUCUCCUUAUGGACGCAAUCUAAUCUAAUCUACGUGUAGUUGUUAGGAUUUGUUAGUGUACAUAGAGGUGUAAGUGAGAGGGGUGUGUGUGUGUGUGUGUGUGUGUGUGUGGUGUGUGUGUGUGUGUUUGUUCAUGAACAUAUGCUAUAGAUGUACCUAGAUAAGAGGCAUCGAAAAAGGUCUCAUAAAUUUGCAUACAAGUCAUAAAGGUAAAUCCAUAUAUAUAGUCCCUCUAUACAAAUUUCCAUUCUCAAUAGUAAGUACAUGUAUCAAUAUAUAGGUUUGCAAUGGAUCCAUUUUCUCGAACAGAAAAGCAAGGUACAUGAUACUUGGAGCAUGAAAAUUUACUAUAGUUGGAUCUUUGUUAGUACUACAAGUGUUUGCACUCUUUUUUUCAAGAUCCUUCCACUAUGAUUUUCUAACUGAGUGUUUUUCUUUCGGAAUCAAACUAUUCUAAUUGGGUGAUACACCAUGGGUCCAUUACUCAAAGUGAAAUCACCCUAUUUCAAAUUAUAAAAUAUUUGGACUUUUCUAAAUGCGUAGCUUUUGAUAUGCAUCUAAAUAUACACUAUGUGUCAUGUCUAUAUAUCUACAUACAUAGUAAAAGAAAAUGUAUUUAGAAAACCAAAACACCUUAUUAUUUAGUACGGAGGAAGUAGUAUAUGAAAAUAUAUAUAUAUAUAUAUAUAUAUAUAUAUAUAUAUAUAUAUAUAUAUAUAUAUAUAUAUAUCAUUCACUAGCGGGUGGCCAUCUUAGGUCGUGGCCACUCCACCAACACCCUAAUAAUUAAUCAAAACCCGAAGCCGGCUGCAUGUCUUUGCACCUUCUCAGGUGAAACCAGCUUAGCUGGCUGCAGAAUUGGACCAGUAACCUCAUUGGAUAUCGCGUGCGUAUCGUCCAAGUGUAUUUUAUACGAGAUCCGAUUAUCAAUAUCACAAAUAAACGCUUAAAAACGAAAUAUAUAUGUAGCGCGCGAGCACCAAGGGAUACACUGCAGGCACGUCUCUACCAUUUGUUUGUUUUAUGUGUACAAAAACAAGCCUGGUCGUGGUCGAUCUGAUGCUGUGAAGCUGUCCAACAGCGGUGCCAGCAGCUAGCUGCAAGUAAAACAAAUCAGAAAAAAUCAUCAGAAAAGGUACACAAUUAAUAGAAUUGAAAGGAAAAUUAAAAAAAAAAGGAGAAGGAAAGAAGAAGUAUGUAUAUACUAGUAAUUCACAUGCGAAGAAUCAUCAGAAAAGAUACACACAAUCGAAGUGAAAGAAUAAAAAAAAACAUAAAUAAAGAAUGUAUAUACUCGUGUAUUCCACAUGCGAUACAUGCCCCGUCCACUCUCCAACACGCACGCAUCACGUCGUUGUCCGCGGAAAUACACUUGACACUUGCACUGGUAUAAAUAGAGGCCACCCUCCUGCUUCUCCAAAUCACCAAGACGCACGACGCAACCAUAUCUAUCCCUAGCUAGCAGCAGCUCUCUGUUAUAACCUAGCUAGCUAGCUAGCUAGAGCCCCAGCAGCCCAGAGGAGCGAGCAAGCGCGAGAGCUAGCUACGACCCGGCCGUACCACAGCUGCUACACUAGCUAGGUGUGUCAUCGUCGUCAUCGUCCAUGGGGUCCAUGGGGAAGGCACUACCGGCCACCGUCGACGAGAUCAGGCGUGCGCAGCGCGCGGAAGGGCCGGCCGCCGUGCUCGCCAUCGGCACGGCGAACCCGCCCACAAUCAUGCCCCAGGACGACUACCCCGACUACUACUUCCGCGUCACCAACAGCGAGCACCUCACCGACCUCAAGGCCAAGCUCAGCAGGAUCUGCAACCACAACAAGUCCGGCAUCAGGCAGCGCUACCUGCACCUCAACGAGGAGCUUCUCGCCGCCAACCCGGGCUUCAUCGACCCCAAGCGGCCGUCCCUGGACGAGCGCGUGGAGAUGGCCUCCGCCGCCGUCCCGGAGCUGGCCGCGAAAGCCGCCACCAAGGCCAUCGCGGAGUGGGGCCGUCCCGCCACCGACAUCACCCACCUCAUCUUCAGCACCUACUCCGGCGCGCGUGCCCCGAGCGGAGACCGCCGCCUCGCCUCCCUGCUGGGCCUCCGCCCCACCGUGUCCCGCACCAUCCUCAACCUCCACGGCUGCUACGGCGGGGGGCGGUCGCUCCAGCUCGCCAAGGAGAUCGCCGAGAACAACCGCGGCGCGCGCGUCCUCGUCGCCUGCUCCGAGCUCACGCUCAUCGCCUUCUACGGGCCCGAGGGAGGCUGCGUCGACAACAUCAUCGGCCAGACCUUGUUCGGCGACGGUGCCGGCGCCGUCGUCGUCGGCGCCGACCCUGACGCCGCCGUCGAGCGCCCGCUGUUCGAGAUGGCGUUCGCGACGCAGACCACGAUACCGGAGAGCGAGGACGCCAUCUCCAUGCAGUACAGCAAAUGUGGCAUGGAGUACCACCUCUCCAGCAAGGUGCCACGCCUGAUAGGGUGCAACGUGGAACGCUCCCUUGUCGACACGUUCCGCACGCUCGGCGUCACCGCCGCAUGGAAUGACCUGUUCUGGGCGGUUCACCCCGGAGGUCGUGCCAUCCUGGACAACAUCGAGGAAGUGCUCGGUCUGGAGGACGACAAACUGGCGGCGAGUCGCCAUGUGCUCAGUGAGUUUGGCAACAUGAGUGGCACCACGGUGAUCUUCGUGCUCGAUGAGUUGCGCCGACGUCGGGCAGCGGCGGCGAAGCAGGGAGGGGAAACGCCGGAGUGGGGAGUGCUCAUGGCUUUUGGACCGGGAAUCACAAUCGAGACCAUAGUGCUCCACACCCCAAGCAACCCGGAACUGGAGGGAAAUUGACAAUUCAAACAACGACCAAAAAAAAAACUUGGUAUAGCGGUUGCAUGCCCUGGCUAAAAUAAGGUCCACAUAUAUCGCCAAUUCAUGGACCAUAAGGUGGAGUGUUUUUUUUUUCACUAAUUAUUCGGCGUGAUGAUAUAUUGUUGUGUUAAUUGUAUUAUGUAUACUUCAAUAUGUACCUAUAAUAAUAUUAAAAAGAAAAAAAAUCGGUUCAUCAUCAGUUUGUCCCUCAUUCGUCCAUUCCUCACUCCCAUCAUUUUUCUUGUAUCCCUUGACCCCGAUCCCUCUCUUGUUGAUAGAGAAAACCUUUGUUGGUGCCGCACUACUCAUGUGGUGGCUAGACCUCGUAUGCAUCACGAUUUCUCAUAGCUUCACGCGCGAGGUGGCCCACUUUCUACCUGAAUCGUACGUUGUGCACACAAUAGCGAGGUAUUUUAGGCGAGUCAAUUUUUAUCAAUUUCUCAUAUAGAAUUAAUCCUUAUUCCACUUAGCAUUUAUUAUAGGCCUUGAAUUUAUUUGAUUUAAUGGAUAUAUGGUUGGACCAAGUCCAAUUCGAUUCAAAAAAUAGCUGUUCACAAGACGGAUCCGAGUGGCCACCCAAGAAGUUGUACUUCCUAUUGUAAGGCACAUACAUAUUUGUAGUCUAAUUAAAAGGAGAAAAUUUCAAAAAAAAAUUAAAAGUAGAAAAUUUCUUCCUCUACUUAUCGGUCUCUCUCUCUCUCUCUCCUAUCCAUCUCUUGACUCCUCUGAGUAUAAUAAGAGUCCUAGGAGUAUGUGAUGAAUAAGAGAUAAAAGUCCUACUUAGUUUACUUUCCGUUUUGUGAUCUUACAACCGGUGCUCAUAAGAGUUAGAAUUGUGCAUGUCCAGGCACACUUCAAUGUCUAAUUCUAAGACAUACACUCCAAGAAAAUGAAAUAUUCCUAGCAGACAACAGUUUCCUUCGGGUGCGAAAUUGAACCCUCAAAGAUAUAUCAUUGCCUCGGCGGUUGUAUGAAACCUCCAAAGAAAUGCAUAUUCUUGAUUGCUAACUCAAACCACCAAGGUAAUUUUACUUGAGUGUAAUUACAAACGGCUAAGGUAUUUCCUCAUUUCUUUGGUGCUAUUCAAAACCGUCGAGGUAAUUCAUAUUUCCUUGAUGUUACAAACCAUCAAAGUUAAUUUUCAUUUCCUUAUGUGUAAUUGGAAACCACCAAAGAAGUGAUAGUUUCCUUGGGUUCAAACCCUCAAGUAAAUUGUUGUAGCUAUCGAGAAAAAAUGUUCAGUUUGUACUCAUUUGUCUUAACUGCCAAUAUAAUACAAUGGACUCGGUACAUUCUUGAUAGUUAUACAUCACAUUUUAUAGACAUAAAUGCUUCCUUGACAUGGUUAUGAAAUAAAAUAUGUGUUUUCUUGGUGCAAUAAUCCAACCAAAGGUACAAUUUUGAGUUGCUAUGCAUUAUAGAAUGCAUAUUGGCACUUAACUUGAGAUGUCUAGUUAGUUUUAAAGCUUGCAUGCAACAUACUAAUAUUGUAUGAAGGCAUAGUUUUUUUAUCAAAGUUGCAGAGUCCAAAGAGAUAUAUAACUUUGUAGUUCAUGAUUUUUCUAAAAUUCUACUACACAAAAUAUCUUUAGAGGCACUUCCUUUUUCUAACAGAAGCAGUUGUCUUAGCACGCCAUGGCUAACUUUCACGAAAUCAAUUUUAGUAACGGCCAUAGUUUCCAGUAGCGGUCAAAAAGGGCUCGCGUGCAGGUUGUUCAAAAUUUCAGCUGAGUGCGUGGUUGAAGACUAUCCAUAUAUUCACACCCAUAUGCAUGGGACCCACCCACAUACAUCCUUAUCUUCUUAGCAACCAGAGCACUUUAUCUUCCUGUGUUCUAUCUCUUUGACUCUCUCAACUCUCUAACUUCUUUGUUAUUUCUCUCUCGAACAACAAUGGCAAAGGGGAGCGCUACUAGCAGCAGCACGGUGAAGCUGGCGUGGAACCAGCAAUGGUGAUGGCAAGCUAGCCGGCCUCAAGCUCCGCAAUAGCAUGGUCCCAGCUCGUAGCUAAGGCACAGCUGUGAUUGUGUGGCAGUGGCGACAACGACAGUGACGGGGAGCUAACCGGUCUCGAGCUCCGUAGUAGCAUUGCUGCACUGGCGAGCUAGUCUGUUGGCCAGAUGUAAGCUAUGCAAUAGCACCUACGACUUCAAGCGUCGACAAGCCAGCCUGCUGGAUGACCGCGAGCGUUGCAUUAGCACAUGCGACUAUAUGCGAGCACCAGCGAGUUUUGUAGUAGCACCAACGAGCACAUGCACUAUGGUGGCUUGGCACUAGUAUGCAAGCUGACGUGGCAGUGUGGCCGCCGACAAUCCUUUUUUAAUGGCCAAAAAUCAUUUUCAAUGUUGGUUGUCAUAGCACAAUCGUUUCUGAAAAUGGCAUCUUUCGGGACGGAUUUUCUAAGGGAACCGCCCCUGAAAUGUAUUUUCAGGAGCGGUUAGAAAGUCCAUCGUUGCAGAUGUCCAAUCUUUGGUAACGGUGGCACUGUAGCGGUUGUGCUGACCACCUCUAAAAAUCUAUUUUAGCCGCCACUAAAAAAAUUCAUGUAGUAGUGUUUUAGUUUAAACCUUUUUUCAUUUGAAAUCGUUUAGAGUCUUAAAUAUUUAUUACAAGAUCCACUAAAGUGAAUAAAAAGAAAGAAAUGUCGACUUAGUCAUAGAUAACUUUGAGAUAUACUGGUGAGUUUCAUCUGAAACCUUAGGUCAUGAGUUUGUUUCAGGACAUGAGUUUGACUUUUUCUAGCUGUGGCAUCCUUGAUAAUUCUUACAAAUAUCUUGGGGUCAUCGAACCUCAAGAAAACAUAUAUCCUUAGCGUUUGAGAUAAAUAGGGUCAUCGGAAUUUAAGAAAAUAUAUAUUUUUGGGAGUGUUGAUGUUUUUAAAAAUCUAACCUCAUCAUUAUUUCCUCGGCGGCCAAACCCUAAAGAAAAUUAUUUGUGGUCGCCGACCCCAAAGUAAUUGAAUUUUCUUUGCUCUUAACUCUUAGUGGUGCUUCCCUGAGGGUUAGCCGCCAAGAAUAAUUUUCUUCAUGAUUUUUUAUGCUUUUCUUGAGGGUUUUUUUUUUGUUUUGGGUAGUGAUAUUCGAACAGAUGAUGCAAUCUAUAUAUUUUGUCGCAAUAUACAGGUAUAUAAUAUUUCUUUCUCUAAUUUUUUAUCUUCGGUCUUUCUACAACUAUCUAUUUCUCCACUCCCCAAGUAUAAUAGUCCUGGCCAGAGCAGUAGUAUCAUGUAUUCAUGUUUGAGGCCUUAUUUAGAUUCGAAAAGUUCUUUAUUUAAUAAACAUUGUCCAAUCAUAAAGUAACUAAGCUUCAAAAAUUUGUCUCGUGAUUUAUAGACAAAUUGUGUAAUUAGUUUUUAUUUUUAUCUAUAUUUAAUGCUCUAUGUAUGUGCCGCAAGAUUCGAUGUGACAGCUUAAAAAGUUUUUGGUUUUUAGGGUGAAAACAAGAGGCCCAAAGUCCUGAACUCAAUCUCUCGUAUGUUCAUACAGCGUUGGAUUCAAAAAAAGGUAUUGAAACAGAUAACGCGUGGCAAAGGACUACCCUGCACGUACUACCAUGACAGGGCACCACCUUCGUGCACCGCCCACAGGCAUCGUGUGAACAAUGGUGCCUCCUCCGCCGCAACCUUAGCUGGCACCUCGCAGCAGCAGCAGCACAUGUCAGGGCCGAGUCUACUCCGGUGAUCCGCGACAUAUGUUGGUGAAAUAUUUUUAACAUUUUCGUUUAUAUUUGAUAAUUAAUAUCUAAUUAUAAAUUAAUUAUGUUAAAAAAUUCAUUUUCCAAAUUUUAGAUAUGCGAUUAAUUAUUUUUUAUAUAUAACUUUAUAUGUACUGCAAGAUUCAAUAUGACGAAAAAUUUUGAAAACUUUGCAAAGCUUUUUAGGAACUAAACAGCCCCUAUGUGUUUUUUUCUGCUUGUACGUCUGGCAUGAGAACCCAAAGAUUGUAAUAGGCCUUGUUUAGUUCACUCUAAAAUCUUAAAAAUUUUCAAGAUUUUCGUUCCAUCGAAUCUUUAAAUGCAUGCAUAGAGCAUUAAAUAUAGAUAAAAAAUAACUAAUUAUACAAUUUACCUAUAAUUUGCGAGACAAAUCUUUUGAGCCUAUAGUUAGUUUAUGAUUGUACAAUAAUUAUCAAAUACAAACAAAAAUGCUACAGUAGCCAUACCCAAAAUUUUUCACCAAAUAACAAGACCAUAUAUAUAGGCUUUUGUUUGUUUUCACUGUUGCGCCGGCUGCGCAUGGCACAGCGUAUUUAAGCAAGACUCGCUCGUAGCUGCGACGUGAGAUUGCUCCGUGAAGCGCGGGCGUUUGGCGGGCGCAAGUGUCACUUCUCGCGCGUACAAGGGCCGAAGGCCACGUGUAGCUGUAACUGUAAGCUUGAGAGUUGUAGAUUGUAAUUUUGAAGCGGAGGUUACUUCUUGCUUGGCUUACUGCUUGUUUGCUUGCUUGGAUUUAUAGUAAUUUGUCAUUACCUAGAACAGGCGUCUCAUUCCAAAACUUCACACCCUCUCUUGUCGAAUAUUUAGACAUAUGCAUAGAGCAUCAAAUAUAGAUUAAAAAAUAACUAAUUUGAUAGAUUACAAGUACUUUGUAAAAUAAAUCUUUUAAGCCUAAUUAGUCCAAGAUUGAACACUAAUUACUCCAGUAACACGUGUGAUAAUCACGGAUUAUUUGAGCUUAAUAAAUUUAUCUCACAGUUUACUGAAUACUGACGCAUACUACAAUUUGUUUUUUUAUUAGUAUGUGAUCGAACAUCCCAUGCGACACCCCAAUAUAACAUAUGAUAUGAUACCCAAAAACUUUAAAGUCUGGAACUAAACAAAACAAGCCUUUAGUAGCUGAUUUCUGAUUAUGUCAAUGUCUACGACCUUGCUCCUGAUGACGACUGCAAGGCUGAAGCGGAGAGUCAGAUAGGCAGGCUAGGCCUACAAAAGGCCCAACUGGCUUCGGGCCUAAAAUCAGCGUCCAUACAACCUAGUGAGUAAGUUCAGGCCAUACAUUUUGUGUUGGGCUUGGGCCUCAAUGCACAAACCGUGUUUUUUAGUGUAGAAAGAGAUGAAAAUUAUGUUUCAGGCUAAGGUUAGAACGAGAUUUUUUUUUGGCAACAAAAAUUCAGUUUAAGGAGAGCUACCAUCAUAGAGAUGCAAGAGCUAGUUUUCCUUACCUUUGCCCGGAGGUACAUGAACUCCUUCACAAAGGCAUCUUCACUGUCGGAACAAGUGACUAUCAGACUGUCAUCUGAGGCUGAGCUACCAGUUGUGAUCGAGUACAACAAGAUCGCAGAGAAGACUGAUGGCUUGGCUUGUAGGCUUGUAGCAUGUUUCUAGUUUUUCCUCGUCUUCCAACCAUGGUUUUUGUUUAGCUAUUGUUUGCAAGCAAAGAGGAGGGGAUGUUAUGCGUUUAUCUCCUAGGCCAGACUGCAUUAAGUAAUUGUAUUUGUGACUGCCCUUGUGAAUCCAUGGGUUUACAGUGAAUCUAGAUUAAUUCUGAGUUCGUUUGGCCCUGCAGCUGAGACGUGAACUACCAGCUCCUAGUAGAAUUUGAAUCCUCUGGGCAAACAAUUAUUCUGUGCAAAACUGCAAAAUCCUCUCUUGAUCUCUCCUUCUGAGUUUCUUUUAUCUUCACACCCAGUGCCGGCCCUGAGUUUUUCGAAACCUGGAGCGAAACAAAAAUCAGGGGCCCUCAGUUCAGCUUAAAAAACUAAUUUUUUUUUAAGAUUUUUCAUCAUAUCGAAUCUUACGGCACAUGCAUAAAGCACUAAAUAUAGUCAAAAUCAAAACUAAUUAUAUAGUUUGCCUAUAAAUAGCGAAUGAAUUUUUUGAGCCUAGUUAGUCCAUGCUUGGACAAUAAUUGUCAAAUUAAAACGAAAGUGUUUCAGUACCUAAAACCAAAAAAUUUUAGAAACUAAACAAGGCCUAAGGGAUUUUUUUUUGUUUUAUCUACUGUAGCACUUUCGUUUGUAUUUGGCAAUUAUUGUCCAAUUAUAGACUAACUAGUCUUAAAAGAUUUAUCUCAUAAAUUACAGGUAAACUAUGUAAUUAAUUAUUUCUUUUAUCUAUAUUUAAUGCUCCAUGCAUGCGUCUAAAAAUUCGAGGUGACGAGAAAUCUUAAAAAAUUUAGGAACUAACAAGGUUGUAGUAGUUGUUAUUCUAGAAUAAGGGUCUGAUUGGUUUUCCUUUCUAAAUUUUAGUCACUUUAGUAGCUAAAAUCCAAACACACUGACAAAAAGAGCUAAAAUAGUUUAGUUACACUAGUCACCUAAAAGUAGCUAAAAUAGUUCUAGCUGACUAAAAUUUAGGCCUUGUUUAGUUCCGAAAAGUUAAAAGAUUUCGGUACUGUAGCAUUUUCGUUUGUUUGUGACAAAUAUUAUCCAAUCAUGGACUAACUAGGAUCAAAAGAUUCGUCUCGUGAUUUACAGCUAAACUGUGUAAUUAGUUUUUGUUUUCAUCUAUAUUUAAUAUUUCAUGCAUAUGCCACAAGAUUCGAUGUGAUGGGGAAUUUUGAAAACUUUUUGAUUUUCAGAGUGAACUAAACAAGGCCUUAGCAGGAGGAACCAAAUAGGGCCUAAAUAUUCUACAUCGUAAGCCAAGACUAAGCAGAAAAAAUAUUGAAUAAUAUUGAACAACGUUAAAUAUCAUUCAGUACUACAUUCAGAACUAAACAAAACUGAACAACAUUGAAACGCAAAAUACUGAACGAUACUAAAUUAUGUUCAGUAUAACCGUUCAGAGAUGUAGAAUAGUACUUAUAUAUAUAAACUCAUAAAUAAUUAACUCUAUAUACAAAAGCAAUAUUUAUAUGUAACAAUUUAUAUAAAUAUACAAAUACUUUAAAAAUCAUUGCAUAGUUUGUAUACUUGGGGGUGGGGCCCUGUCUAAUUGGAGGGCCAGGGCGGCCGCCCCGUUUGCCCGCCUUCAGGGCGGGGCCUGUUCACACCUAUACUCCAGCAGCAUGCAACAUGCAUCAAAGUGGCGCCAGGGUCUCUGAAUGUGCUGUUCAUCAGCGCCAUCCUCAAUUAAUCUGCGCGUGAUAUCUUGAUUUGUCAUUAGCCCAUACAACUUAUUGGUACGACAACGCCAAGUCGCCAGCACUUGCUAAUUCUGAAGAACUCCACAUCCUUCUGCUCCUCAUAAAUCCUGCUGCUUGAGUUGCUAAGUACAUAUUCAUGUAAACUAGCCUAUGCAGCCCUCCCCGGCCUGUGCUAGGCUGCGCUCCUCGCGCAUGUACCUUGACGAUGUAUUUUGCUUCAUCUUCUUAUUAAUGUUAAUAUAUAUGCCAGGCAACUGGAUCUUUCAAAAAAAAAUCUUGUUCACUAAUUAACCUGGCCAUUGGAUAUAUUUCAGGCUUUCAUUGGCUAACAAACAAAUUAGCUAUAAAGCUGAAUUUAGCAACAAACCUGUCCAGCCAAAUUAUAGCAUCAACAAUGUCGUCGAGCCAUCGGUUUUAAUGACAAGACCCUAGAGCCAGUGUUUGCAUCAAAAGAAUCAAGAUCUGGACAGCACACGGUGCCAAAGUAAAAAGGACAUAACUCCCUUGUCUAGAAUCUGUUUUGGGUGAAGACAACUGGUAACUCGUUGGAAAGGUAAUUUCAUAAGUUUUUCAUCAGGGCAAUAGUUUGCCCAUGAUCUGUUCUAGACACAGGCCAGGGUAAAUCCAUGAAGAUGCAGCAGCGUUCAACGAAGAGAAUGACAACCAAAUCAACGAUAUGGAGAUUAUGACAAUGCAGAAAGGCUUAUUGGCAAUGCUUCGAUGAAUACAAUUUGAUCAAAUCCAUAAGUUUAGCGUAACAAAUUCUCCUGAACAUUAAAAUGAGAAGGCAAAAGUGAUACAAAGUUGAUGUGUCAAUUUUAUUGGUUAGGACUAGCAAUUUGGUUCCAGUAAAGUGACAGGGAAGACACAAAUCAACCUUCAUGUAGAACAAUUAGUAAUAAACCUUUACAUAUAUAACACACACCGAUGAUGGCGCUAUAAUAGUUGCAUGAAGAUCCCUUAAUUGAAAAAGACAGGAUACACUUAUAGUUUAGAAGAAAUGCUCCCUGAAUAGAAUUGAAAAACACUGAUGGAUCAAGGUUAAAGCAUGAGAAGAAGCUUGAACAACUAGCUCAGGCAUGCUCAGUCGUAUUUGGAAGUAAUACUUGGGUAGAAUGACCUAUGGGCCAACUUAUGAAGACCAAGGAUCAUGCAUGACAUAGGAUGAAGUCGACCAGUGAGUUCAAAGAUAAUUAACAAAAUUUCUUCACAAUUGUCUUUGCCAUGAUUAAUAGGAUAAAGUGAAGAAAAAGAUGCUCGGGCAUCCUUGUAAUCUUGCAACAAGGACAACGCAUAACUUCUCUACAAUCAGGUAUCUAAGAAGUCAACCUACUAGACCAAAAAUGUGUGCUGUGUUGUCUAUGAGGGAUUAGGGAAGCAAAACACAACCUUAAUUGUUUUACUCGUGGUUGAUUAUAUUUUAGUCUAACACUUAUCCUCUUCUCUAGUACCAUCUUUAUGCGUGUCUUUUAUUUUCUUUUAUCCUUUUGUUUUCAUUCAUGUUGCAUCAAACUAUAGACUGAGCCUAACUAAUAACACAUAACCCUUUUCUUAUUUACAAUAUUAUUUUUCUAGUCACUUAGGCCUUGUUUAGUUCGCAAAUUUUUCUGGAUUUGACUACUAUAGCACUUUCAUUUGUUUUGAUAAUAAUCAAAAGAUUCGUGUCGCAAAUUACUGAUAAACUAUGCAAUUAGUUAUUUUUAUAAUCUAUAUUUAAUGCUCUAUGCAUGCGUCUAAAGAUUAGACCUUAGAUUGAACUCCAUCGUAUUUGGGUAUUUGCAUAUCAAAACCUUUUAUUCUAAUCUAAGCCUAUAAAGGUCCACAUGUAGAUGUUGGCCCCGCCUUAUUUGUUUGGCUAAUAAGUCAUGACAGAAAGUACUGUUGGCUGAUUUAUUGUGAGAAAAAAAUACUGUUGAAUGGCUGGCAGAUUUGGUUGAUAAGCCCAAACAAACAAGGUAGCGUCGAUAUAGUCCACCCUAGGUCUAGGGAGCCGAUUUUAUCUUCCAUGGGAUAAGCCCAAGCAAACUAAGGUAGCGUCGAUAUAGUCCACCCUAGGUCUAGGGAGCCGAUUUUUUCGUUCAAUUUAAUAUGAGAACGAAAAAAUAACUUGCGCAGCGGAAAAACAUUAAUUUACUUGCUAUUUUCAGAAACAUAACUUGCUGACUGUGCUUUCUAGAUAAUAUACACGUUGGUGCAAAUUAAAUAGAAUUUAAAACUGAGCAAAACAAUUAUUUAAAUGCUUCUGAAAAUAAAAUAAAAAAUAAAAGGAAUCACUAUGCUUAAACAGGCCGCGGCCAGCCAUUCGGCCUGCGGCCUCUUGCGGCCCAGCUCGGGCGCUGGCGCUGGCCCAGCAGCGCGCAGCUGGUUUUUUUUUUUUUGACGAUGGCGCGCGGCCCAUUUAGGCGAAAUGGCCCAUUCGCUGGCUCCCGCCGUUCGCUCCUCCCCCGCGCCCAGGCCGCAACCUGGGCCUGGGCCGGGAAAGCUCUCCCCCGCCUAGGCCAAUUCUGGUCCAGCGAAUCCUGGCCGUUGGUCUCGAUCUGACGGCUCAGCGUGGAUCUCGCGCAAAUAAAAAGGCCGCCUGCCGGCCGCCACUCUCUCCCCUGAAACCCUAGCUUCUUUCUCCUUGCACCCCUUUCUCUCUGCUCUCUCUGCCUCCUCUUCUCUAGCGCACCGCACGGCAGCAGGGCCGCCGCCGGCGAGCUGCACCGCACGGCAGCAGAGCCGCCGCUGGGCCGCCGCUGGUGACCCUUUCUGCUCUGUCUCUUUGCUUUUCUCCCCAGCCCACGCCGCGCCCAGCAGCAAAAACGCCACCGCAGCGGCAGCGGUUACCUUCGGCGGCCGGAGAAGGAAACCGCGCCGCCAUGAGUCCCUCGCCGGUGCGCGCGCUCGCCCACUGUGGAGCGCGUCGCCGUCGAGCGUUUCGUGUGCGGUGCCCUGGGUGCAAGUGCAUGGAGAACCGCGCGUCACAGGUAGAUGGACAGUUCACUGUCCUUCCUCUUGCUUUUAGGGUUAGGUUUCCCCUUCCUCGAUCUGUGCUUGUACGUUGUUUGGGGUUUGGAUCUGAGCGCUAGGGUUGGGGUGGUCUCGGUUUUGACUGAGUUAGGUUUAGGAUUUGGAAAAAUCCCCUCCUUCUAAUUGUUGUGCUCGCUGGGUAGUCCCCGAGCUCCGAUCUACUACUAGAUCGACUGAUACCAUUGAUAGAAAUAGGAUCUACUAGCAGUGUAUCGAGUCGGGGUACAAAACAUAUAGCAGUAAACAGUGAUACAUGUAUAUACACUAGAUACAUUACAACUAAGUAGAUCUAUUACAACUGAGUAGAAACACGUACAUCAGGAGUUUAGGGUUUCGACCGUCGUUGGCGGCGGGAGCAGAUCCGGAGGGGUCCAUGGCGAAGGUGUUGGUGCUGCGCCGAUGUAGAUCACGGCGACCUUCAGGCCUCCAGCGGCACUGCCCGACGUCGGCGGGGAAAGAGUAGAACGGAGGCGGCGCGGUGGUGCUUCCCGACGCCACUGCGCGAGCCGAUCGGAUGGCCUAGGGUUUGUCGAGUGGUUUGUGGCACGGCGAACUUCGGUUCGUAUGCCUGCGGCCCCCACUUCUAUUUUUAUAGCGCAGCGCGUCGGGGGCCCACCAACCAUGGAUCGGUUGGGCGCCCCCGAUCAGGGCGCGAUCCAGAGGGAAAAAGACCCCAGCCGUUGGGCUGGGCCUGAGAUCAACCUAACAAUCUCGUCGUCACCUUUGACCUUCCUCAACCUUAUAAUAUAUAUAAAUGAAUAAAAUUACCAUGUAUUUAAGUUGGUCGAAGCAUUGGUCAAUUUUUAAUGCAGGAUUAUCAUUUAUUGCAGCUAGCUCUAAAUAUGAACCUUGGAUUUUAUUCUGUAUAUAUUGAAAAAAGUCAGGCCCAUCCUAACUAAGGGCUUUUUUAGAUGCACUCAAAAACCCAAAAAUUUACAAGAUUUUCCAUCACAUGGAAUCGUGUAGCUAAUGCAUGCAUGGAGCAUUAAAUAUAGAUAAAAAUAAUUAAUUGUAGAGUUUACCUGUAAAUUGCGAGACGAAUCUUUUAAGCUUAGUUAAUUCAUAAUUGGACAAUAUUAUUAAAUACAAACGAAAGUGAUACAAUAUCAAAACCCAACAAUUUUUUGAAUCUAUGCACGCCCUAAACCUAAAUAUAUGCCAUAUGUCGGUCGUAAAACCCUUACGAAAUGCUAAUGAAGACUGGCUUCCUUGUUUAGAUACACCCAAAAACCCAAAACUUUACAAGAUUUCCUGUCACAUCGAAUCUUGUGACACAUGCAUGAAGUAUUAAAUAUAGAUAAAAAUAAUAACUAAUUGCACAAUUUAACUGUAAAUCACAAGACGAAUCUUUUAAGCCUAGUUACUCUAUAAUUAGACAAUGUUUGUCAAAUAAAAACGAAAAUGCUACAGUGUCAAAAUCCAAAAACUUUUUGCAUCUAAACAAGGCCACGAUACUAACAAGAUCCAAUGGGUCAGAGGACUCCACUAAGGAUUAAAGCAUAUCAGGAUUAGCGCACUAAGGGUUAUUUACAAAACGCAAGAAAAGAAAAAGAAACAUGAAAAUAUAAUAGGAAUGCAUGUGUAAAAUAGAGGAAUUACAAUCAUAGAAUUUUGGCAAAAUUUAUUGUUUGAUAUGCAUGGCUCUUUGCUGGCGGACAACUACUUUCGAGCAAUUUCUGAAAGACACUCUAGUUCUUGACAAAUUAGUUGGUGGACACCGUGACUAACAAAAUACUUUUAUAAAAUAGAUAUAUAAAAUCAUAUAAAUGCCCAAAAUUAUACCAUAAAGUCUUGUAGACUCUACGUGAUGAGAACCACACAGUAAAAUAUUGUUUUCCACUGAAAUGACUAUUUUACCUAUCUUCGUAAAUAAACAAAGUUAACAAUGGUUAAUUUAUUCAUAUAUUUAUAGGACACUAAAAAUCUUAGAAAAAUCAUAUAUUGUGUGCAUCACCAAAAUCAUAAUUAUGCUAAAAAUAUCAGCUUAAAUUAAUAAAGUUUCAUAGGCCCCAUUAGCUAUUAGUUUCAACGUUUUGUGCCUAUUAGCUAUUAGCUUGUCUCAACUUUCCUGUCAUCUUGGUUUCUACGGCAAUGUUGUAUCAGCAGCAGCAAAGGACACACAUUGCCUUGAUCCCCACAUGACAGGAAAAGAAACAAAGAGGUCACACCUGUACUUCUUUCCUGUACUUCUUCCAUUGGAAUCAGCACUAUAUGCAAUGCAAUUUUCCUCUAUUUCUCCUACAGCAUUUUGGAAUCCUUCAUUCCUUCUCCAAAAUUCUUCAAUCCAAGUGGAACAGUACUUUUAAACUUAUUAGCCGAAUCUACCUUUUUAUCAUUCAGCAAAAUCUACCUGCUAUUUAGUAGUAUUUUUUAAUAAAUUUAAUAAAUAAUAUUUAUAGUUUUUACUAUGACUUUUUGAACAAACGUGGAGCUGGAGAGGGAAAGGGGGUUUCUCCCGAAUCUUCCCUUGCAUCGUUGUCUGGUUGGACGCUCCACUCCAAGAGGCCGUGGUGCCACAGCUGCCGGUGGGCCCCGGGGUAGAUUCCGUAUUGAUCCGCGGCAUCCCGCCUGGUCUUAUCCCGUUGGGCCGGGCCGGGGGGCCCACCAGCGCGUCGCGGCAGCGGAACUGGAAUCCCGCCGAAUAUUCCACGCCCUCCCUCUCCCUUUUUUUUUUUUUUCUGUCUUCCUGCGCGCGUGAGAAAAGAUUCGUUUCCUACGCGACGCCUCGACCUCGAUUCCCCAUUCCUAACCCUUUCCUUUCCCCUCCCGGGCCGGCUCCCGCGCCUCUCGUCUUCCACGGCCUGCCCAGCCAGCAAUCAGUCCACGGAGCAUGGAGAUGGACCCGCCGCCGCCGCCGCCCCUGCACGCCGACAACCGCCGCCGCCGCCGCUGCCGCGAGUACCUGCUCGCGCUGGAGGAGGAGGAGCGCAAGAUCCGGGUGUUCCAGCGCGAGCUGCCGCUCUGCCUCGACCUCGUCACGCAGAGUGAGUGCCCGCGCGCUCGAUCUCCUCACUCGCCGUCGCCGCUUCGUCGUCGUCCGUUUCGUCCCAUUAAUCUGUACACCGUCUCUGCUAUGCAGCUAUCGAGGAGAUGAGGAGCCACAUGGACAGCGUGGUGGUCGGCAGCGAGGAGGAGACGGUCAGCGACCACGGCGGCGGGCCCGUGCUCGAGGAGUUCAUGCCGCUCAAGCCCACCCUCUCGUCCUCCUCUUCCGAGGACGACGACGACGAUGAGCACGACAGCUCCCGCCACCACCAACACCGCGCUGCCGGCGUUGGUGAUGACGACAAGAAGAACGACGAGGCAUCGGGAGAUCCGGAGACGGCGGCAGCCUUAGCCAGCAGCAGGCGGCCGUUGUUGCCACAGCCGGAGACCAAGAAGGCGAUGCCGGACUGGCUACAGUCCGUGCAGCUCUGGAGUAACCAACAACAGCCGCCGCCGCAGCAGCAGCACCAGGACGAGCUGCUGCUGCCGUGCCGGCCGGUGGCGCUCAACGCCUACCGGAAGCCCGGGGGCGCGUUCCAGCCGUUCGAGAAGGACAAGGACAAGGAGAAGCAGCGCGGCGAACUGCCGCUGCCGGCCUCGUCGUCGGCCGCGGCGAGCUCGGCCGUGGUCGGUGACAGCUGCUGCGACAGGGCCGGCGGCGCCACCGACACCGACACGGCGGAGAAUACUAAUAAGUUGAGCAUCAAAGGCGGCAAGGACAAGGAGGCUCAGUCGUCGUCGCAGGCGCCCGGCCGGAAGCCGCGCCGGUGCUGGGCGCCGGAGCUCCACCGCCGGUUCCUGCAGGCGCUGCAGCAGCUCGGCGGGUCCCACGGUUAGUUGCUCACCCUUAUACCCUACCAACUCAUCACCAACGCUUCAGAUCAAAAUGUGUACAAUUAGUCUCGGACGAGUAUCAAAAUCUGUACAAGUUUUUUGUUGAUUAAUACUCGUAACUAAUUGCGAUGUUAAUUUGUUAAUGUAUGCUCAUAUAUAUAUACAUCCAUGCAGCGGCGACGCCGAAGCAGAUCCGGGAGCUCAUGAAGGUCGACGGUCUCACCAACGAUGAGGUCAAGAGCCAUUUGCAGGUCAGGAUCAGGAUUCAGGAACUGCCUCAAAAAAAAGAUUUCAUUUGCAGCUCAUGCCUCAUGGUAGCAUCAGUCUGGUCUCACUUCGUCCUUCAUUUUUGAACUGGUGGUGUUCAGAAGUAUCGCUUGCACACGAGGCGGCCGAACUCGACGACGGCGGUCGCGGUCCAGAGCGGGGGCACCAGCGUCGUCGCGCCGCCGACGGCGCCACAGUUCGUCGUGGUGGGAGGCAUCUGGGUGCCACCGCCGGAGUACGCUGCCGCGGCUGCGGCAGCUGCUGCUGCGGCGGCGGCGGCGGCGGCAUCGCAGCCGCAGCAGGCGCCGCACCUAGCCAGCACCGGCGACGCGUCAGGAACGCCGACGGCGACCGCCAACAAGGUGUACGCUCCGGUGGCGACGACGUUGACAACGCCCGGACUGCUGCAGCCGCGUCCGGAGAGGCAGUCCAGCAGCUGCUCCGGCGGGCGGCGCAGUGGGGACGCCUGCUCUGGGUCGCCGGCCGUGUCGUCGUCGUCGUCGCAGACCACCUCUGCGUAAUGAACGCCGUUGAUCGCCGACUUUGCUUCUAAUUUUAGCUUACAAUCCUCCUGAGGUACAGAGCUGAGACACGUAAACUUUUGAGAGCUCCUUCUUGGUGCUUGAAUCGAUAUAUCCAGCAUUUUGCCGUCUGUUUUUGUUUGUAGACCAAAAAAAGAAAAGUUAUUCGCACCAUGCAGACCACAACCACAUUGUAUGUUGUUGUAAUUAACUUCUUUUGAUGCGCUGCACGGUUGGGAAGGAUGAAAUCAUGCAUAUAUAUGUGAUGUAAAUAUUAACGGUUGUUGUUGUCCCUGAUUCUGCCGGUGUUCCCCUCUUCCAUUCCAAAAUGUAGGGUAUAGAUUCAUCUUUAGUUAGUCUUCAAGUUUGACAAUUAACUGAAAAACACAGCAAUAUUUUUCAUAGCAAACAAUUUUGCAACAACAAACAGGUAUACUAGUGGAACCAUUCGGUGUUAUAUCUUCCUAUAUAGAAUAGAUAAUAAAACUUAAAACAAAAUGAGUAAAGUUCAUUUGUCACUCUAAACUUGACACAAAGUUUGGAAACUCAAGAACUCAAAAACCAAACAUUACAGUACCCCUCCUUAACUAUCUAGGUAGGGAUACCUACCCAACUUUCAAAAGUGAAUAGAUUAUCCCCAAUAGCAUUUCAAUGUGGCUCUCAAUGUUAUUUUGCUAAAAAAACACCUUACAUUAGACAACCCCAACUCUAAUAAUCUUACAUCAUACAACCUCAACUUGCAAAAUCGGACGAUGUAAUAUUAAAAGUAAUUUUCAAGGUGUGGCACGUGUCAUCAUUCCCCCUCUCUCUACAUGCAUCCCUAGAUCUUCCUCUCCUGGCCCCUCUCUCGUUGUUACCCAUACCUAUAUGUCCUCCUUCAGGCUGUGUCCAACACCAGAGCCAUUUGGCAACCCAAACCUAAAAUGGGUCUCCAACACAAUACCUAUAGCUUCCAACAGAGUGCCCAUACAGAAGACCCACUUUGGGUAUCAGGAGAGGCAUAACCCAAAUUUGGGUAUCCUCUCUCUUCGAGACCCAUUUGCAGAGAGUGUUAUCUUUUAUGUCUUGUGGUUGGAGAAGACUAAAAAUAGGUAUGAAAUCUUUUACCGCUACCCAAAGGAUAAAUGGGUCUUGUAUUUUGGGUGACGAUUGUUGGAGAUAGUCUCACACUAAUCCCCACUGACCUCGCAAUGCCAUAGUCAUGCCCACGGUGAGAUCUUUCAUGGGCUGUUGAUCCUACUAUAACGACCACAAGGCACCCUCCCCUUUGUCAUUUAGUCACUCUAGCAUCCUCAUCAAGUCGUCAUGGAUCUUCGGCUACCCUGGAAACAACACUUCGAACAACUAUUAUAGGCGUGAUUUUUUUUUUCGUACAAUAAUGGGUGGUUUACAAGUUUAAUGGAGAAUGGUGUUUCAAGCUCCUACACCAUCAGUGCAUCACAUUGCAAUCAUGAGUAUGGUUGUCGGUUUUGGAUAGAUCUUUCAUCGAGACUAGUUUUUCGAUAGCAUUAAAUUUAAAUAUAUUCUAUAACCAAUCUAAACGAUAUUUAUUUUGUAUCAUAAAUGUUACUGUUUGACUUCUUGAGAAGCGAAAAAUGUAUUCUUAGGCCUAUAUUUAAUGCUUCAUGUAUGCAUCUAAAGAUUUGAUGUGACGAAAAAUAUUGAUAAUUAUAUGAACGGAGGAAAUACAAGGUUGUUUGUUCAAAAGUUAUAUACAAACUCGUAUACUAUACUCCUAAUAAUCUAGGUCUUGUUUAGAUCUAAAUUUUAUUUCCUCCUAAUAACGGAGGAAAUACAAGGUUGUUUAUAUUUGAUAAUUAUUGUCCAACCAUGAACUAACUAUAUUCAAAUGAUUUGUUUCAUGAAUUACAGAUAAAUUAUACAUUUAAUUAUUUUUUUUUAUCUAUAUAUAAUACUUUAUAAAUAUGCUGUAAGAUUUGAUGUAACGUAUGUCUUGGAAAUUUUUGGGAAACCUGGUACAUGUGGUUUGCAGGCAGUGGUGUUGGGGCGGCAGCAAGAGUUUUAUGAGUGCUCGUCUCGUCACUUUGCACCGGGCAGGGUUCGGGUGGGGAUUCCAUGGCAACGGGAAUGUUCCCCCAGCACCCCUCGAAUAUCCCGUGCCGCAUCUCCCGCUAGUGUGGUGUGUGUGUCUUUGGCCUUGUUUAGUUCACCUAAAAAAGCAAAAAGUUUUUAAGAUUUCCCGUCACAUCGAAUCUUGCGGCACAUGCAUGAAGCAUUAAAUAUAGACGAAAGCAAAAACUAAUUACACAGUUUAGUUGGAAAUCGCGAGACGAAUCUUUUGAUUCUAGUUAGUCCAUAAUUGGAUAAUAUUUGUCAUAAACAAACGAAAGUGCUACAGUACCGAAAUCCGAAAUCUUUUCCUGGAUGGUCCGUCCCUUUCCCUUCCCUUUGGUACAGUGCCGGCAGCGGGAUCUUCUAGCGGCUUUUCGCCGCGCGCAAGGGCCGUCCGUCCGACCGGGCCCCGCUUGCAGGCCUUUUCAGCUAGCUACGUGCUCCGUACUACUACUUCCCAUAGAAGAAAACGUGACAGCGAGCCAGCACGGAGUCGUGUGGUGAGACCUUGUUUUUCACACAAAAUUCAAAUACUUUUCAAAAUUUUUUCUAUCGCAUCAAAUCUUAUAAGAAGAGCAUUAAAUAUAGAUAAAAAAAAUUAAUUAUAUAGUUUGUCUGUAACUUAUAAGAUGAUAAAUUUUUUAAGCCUAGUUAGUUCAUGGUUGGACAAUAAUUACUAAAUAUAAACGGAAGUACUACAAUAUCAAAAUCCAAAAAAAUUGGAUCUAAACAAGGCCUAAGUGAUGUGCUAUGUUCUUAGAAGGUGCUUAUGGAGAUAGUGUGGGGUGAGUGUGCGUUGUUGUAUGUGAGCGUUUAUGUUUGUAUAUGGGUCUCACAAAAAAGAAUACCUCCAUUUCUGUCAUCAGUAACUGUUGUUACUGACGUAUCGAUUUAUAUAAAAAAUAUAUAAUAUUUGUAUUUCUAAAUAAAUUUAUUUAGAAAUUAGAUUCAAAAAUCUUUAAAAUGAUACUAAUUAUAUACUAUAAAUAUUAAUAUUAUAUAUAUAUAUAUUCAGUCAAAGUUGUUUCUCAAAAAAUACAAAUGACAUAUAUCUAGGAACCAAAGAAAAAAGAAGAAGCAUGCACGUAUAGGACUAGGAGGCGCAACAUUUUUACUCCCUUUGUUCUAAAUUAUCUGUUGCUUUUGGUUUCUGUAACUUGGUCUAUAAAAAAAUACUUGUAAUAUUUGUGUCUUCAAAUAAAUUUUAUUGAAAACUAGAUUCUAAAAGCUUUCUAGUGAUAUUAAUUAUGUAUCAUAAGCAUUACUCCCUCUCUACGAAAGACUUAAUUCCUAGACUUGUACUAAGCUAAAAUUUUUAAACUUUGACCAAAUUUAUAGAAAAAAGUUCUAAGAUUUAGAGAAUCAAAUUAGUAUCAUUAGAUUUAUCAUAGAAUAUAUUUUUAUAAGACGUGUAUUUUAUGUUAUAGAUGUUAUCACUCUUUUCUAUAAAUUUAGUCAAACUUUUAAAAGAUUGACGGACAGAGAUUCUAGGAAUUAAUUUUUUCAUAGAUGAAGGAAGUAAUAUUUUUAAUAUAUAUUUUGUUAAAGUUAUUUUUUUAAAGCGAAAACGAUAUAAUUUUAGGACGGAGAAAGUAUAUAUGAGCCACAUAUCCUCCUUGAACGAAGCGAAAACGAUAGAAUUUUUUGAAAUAUAACAUAUUUGAUAUGACUAACAAUGUUGUUUUCUCUACUUUGAUUUGAUGCUGUUAAUUGGCCUCAUGUGUUUAUCAUAAAUCAAUUAACUCUUUUCUUAGAUAAUGGAGGAUUUCUGGCUUCAAACAUCAUUAAACUAAUGAAUGAAUCAGACGACAAUUAAACAAGCCACAAUUCACAGAUCAAACGACUGGCAGAACUCCACUGUUUACCAGCCUGUUUGUCUGAGGCCUGAGCUGAUGGAGUUGCGUUGCCCUUUCGUGGCACCAAAGAGACAGGACUAGCGCUAUCCUAUUCCAUUCCUUCCACGUGUUAGGGGUCACUUUUGUCCACAUCUCAACACAGGAUUCGGAUUGGGAUGGAUAGGUUAAAAUAUCGAUAUCCGGUUCGGAUCCGAUGGUACCGCAGCAGGAUAUCCCUUGAUUCUUUGGGUUCCUGCAUGGCUGCAUGUAGCCGUCGGGAAUACCUUGCCGGUCUAUUGAUUCCUCCUCCAUCAUUUUUGCCUUUCAGGACAUCGGACGCUUCAAAUCGCUAGCAACGCCUUGUUUAAGUUCCCAAAAUUUUUCAACAUUCUCCGUCAAAUCGAAUCUUAUGACAUAUACAUGAAGCAUUAAAUAUAGAUAAAAAAGAUAACUAAUUUAUAGUUUAUCUGUCAUUUACGAGACGAAUCUUUUGAGCCUAGUUAGUUUUUGAUUAGACAAUAAUUGUCAAAUAAAAACGAAAGUACUACGGUAGCGAAAUCCAAAAAUUUUCACGAACUGAACAAUAAGAUUGAAUAAAAAAAAGUAGCAACAUACUCCAUCCGUCCAUGAAAGAAUCAAUUCAUAGGACGUGCCGGUCAAACUUCUAUGACAUAAAAUGCGCAUCAUAUGAAAAUAUAUUCUAUGAUGAAUCUAAUGAUACUAAUUUGAUACAAUAAAUCUUAGCAAUUUUUUCUAGAAAUUUGGUCAAAGUUUAAAAAAUUUGACUUAUGACAACUCUAAAAAUUGAUUCUUUCAUGAACAGAGGAAAUUUUUAUGCAAUCUCUCUUCUAUAAAUAGUAUAAAUAAUUCUUCUCGCUAGCUAUUUAAAACUCUAUUUGGGACGUCCUUUACGAUAUAUUUCUUCAUAAAAAUCUGAGAGUAUAUUUGAAAUCUCCUUAUUGGAACAAAGGAAUUUAAAACAGAGAAAUAGAGUGGGAAAAAACGUAGGAAUAACCUAAGUUUUCGUGGAUUAGUGCAUGUAUGUACGUUCGUUCUUUAUUCCUUUCUAUUGUUGUUUGCGCGACAACUCAAGCUAUGGUUUGCAUUUAAUUUAGCAUUAACUUGUACUACCUUCAUCCAUAAAAAAAUGCAGUUCUCAGAUUUGGAUGAGUCAAAUAGUCUAAAUUUUUAAUAAAUUUAUAUACAAAAGUAUAAAUACCUUUUUAUACAAAAUAAGUAUAGCUAUAGAAUAUAUUUUCCUAAGAGCAUCUCCAACAGUUAUGCAAUUGGACUAUGUAUUCUAAAAAUUUACUAAAAACUUUAAAAAUUGUUCUCCAACAGUUAUGCAUUUGACUUACGCAUUUUGGCAAACUUGGCAUUUGAUGGACCAAACUUGGCAUUUUUGCAUAGGCACAAUGGUUUGGCAAUUUUAAUAUCCCAAGUUUCCUGGACUCCUUGUCGUGCGCGCCCUCGCCACGCGCUGCGGUAGUUUCUCGCGAGGACUCCUCCCCGCGCGAACUCUUCUUUCCCCAGCGCCGCCGCCUCCUUUCUUCACGCCACCUCUUUUUUUCCCGCGCAUGGUUCCCGGUUCCAAGAUGGGGUCCGAGAAGCAGGUUGGAGGAAUGAUGGGGAGAAGGCCGCGACGGACCUGGAGGCCGCGCGCGACGUGAACUCUGUGACCUGUGACUUCGUGGACUACUAGCGCACGACGGAACUCUGGCGAACUGCGACUUCGUGAACUAGCGGACCGGGAGUCCGCGAUUCACAGAAACGGCGGUGACUUGCGACUUCGUGGACUGGCGGCGACGGGCGACGGAAAUUCCUGUGCAGAGGAAAAAUCACGCGCGAAGCGCGCCAAACAAAAAAAGAUCCCGAACAAAAAUAGUUGGGUCCACUAUUUUGGGAAAUACCAAGUCAAAAAUGCCAAACACUUGGAGAUGGACUUAUUUUUCCUUUGGCAAAACGUUUAGAGACUUAGCAAAUUCCAACAAAUGGCAAAUUCCAAUUGCAUAACUGUUGGAGAUGCUCUAAUAGAUUUAUUUAGAGACAUAAAUGUUAAUACAUUUUUUAUAAACCUAGUCAAAGUUGAUCUUAAUAGACCGGCACAGAUACCAUAAUUGUAUUCUUUUAUUAACGGAUAGAGUAUUAACAUGAGCUUGGUUUCUAAAUUUCUUCCUCUUUAUUCAUUGCGUGCAAAAACUUAAAAUCGUAGUGGAAGGAAAUGGAAGAAUAUAAUGCACAUAGCUCAUUGUCAUUAGUGUUGUUGAAGAACAAUUCGGUGAUGGGCCAUAUAUAGCAAAAUAGUGGUGGUACGUGCUAAAGUCAUGUCCACCACCUGGGAGGCGUCAAAAGUGAUGGCGGUUUGGCUAUCACAUCUCAUCCUCUAAGGGGACAUAUGUGAAAUAACUCAUCACCAUUAGGCAAAGGUGGAGCUCCACAUGUGGCAAGGUAGGGCAGCUACCCCAUCUAUCGUCGGAGUAGAGCCUCUAGUACCCCCUAUAUCUUCCUCCCUUCUAGGCGAGCGAUGGAGCGGCGAUGUCCGGCAUCCGACACAUCCAAUAUCAUAGAAACUUAUGAGACAAAUGAUUAAGAAAAGGAAAAAUAGGCCCAAUAGCCUAGUUUCGUCCCAAGUGGAUAGCACAUCAACCCCAAAUUCUCAAUCUAGCCAUCCACCCACCGACUCAUAUAAUCACGUUCGUCGCCACCACUGCCACACUGAGCACCUCCCUGCGCUCAAGCGAGCUUCUACUAAUGAUCCGGCGCCUUGUUGUGCUGCUAUUGGCACCUUGCUACGGUGCGGCGGCGCACCGCUCGUCGCAUCCGCCCUGCACCAUGGCGCUCGUUGUGCGCCAGGUGGCAGCAGGUAGGCGACAUGUGCCAUGCGCUGGUGGCUAGGCAGGCUACUCCGAUGGAGGAGGAGGAAGAUUUGGUGGGGGAAUCACUACUACUACAAAAAAAAUGUAAUUGUGGCGGGCAAAAAACAUUAACCGAGGCGGUUUUUGCAACGUCUCGGUCGAAAGAUCACAAUAAAUCAAUGAAUUACCGAGGCGGUUCAAAUGCUCGCCACGAUAAAUAAAAUAAAAAAAAUAAAAAAACACAUGCAUAGGCCCAACGAGCCCAUCCACAAGCCCGCCGAGCCCAUCCAUAGGUGCCCGCUACUCGUCGGUGCCAGCAUCCUCGCCGAACCACCGGAAUCAAGUCGCUAGCCACCCCCAUCGCUGGAGUUGAUGCCCAUGACGUCGGAUCUAGUCACCACCGAUGCAUGUGACUCCGGAUCUACAAGAGAGAGGGUGAGGGACGGAUCCUCCCAUAUCUGAGAGAGGAGAGAGAGGAUGAGACAUACCAAAUCCGUGUCGGAUCCAUGCUGUCACAGCCAAGAAGAGCGUGUCCAUCGCCGCCGUGGCCAGGGAGAGCAUGGCCGCUGCCCCACACGCCCGCAAAGAGGCCCGCCUCACUCUCGCCAGGGGUGCUGCGCGCCUGUCUCACUGCCGCUAGGAGCACGAGGGCCGCUGCAAAAUAGCCCUGAGAGAGAGGGGGAGGGGAGGAAGGGGUGUCACCGCCAUGCGCCAUGAUCUGCAGGGAGGGAGAGGCGUCGCUGGCAGGAUCUCGGAGGGAGCGGUGAGAAGAUGACUCGGGCUUAGGUGCGGCUGCGACUUAUAUAUCAAAGAUGGUAGUGGGCUAGUGUGGGCUAGCGGGCUGGACUUUAUUUACAUUUACCAUGGCGGUUAUUAUAAGAGACCGUCACGGUUAAUAGAUUAACUAUAGCGGUUAUUACAAGAGACCGUGGUGGUUAUCUUACAAUGCCCGCCACGGUUAAUAGAUAUUAAUCGUGGCGGUUACUUUACAUUGCCCGCCACGGUUAAUGAUUAAUUGUGGCGGUUGUCCGGCCGGCUGGCCGGCUAUAGCCGGCCCAGAAUAAUCGUGGCGGGCAAAAAUAACACCCGGCUCGGAGCCCUUAUGUGAAACAUUGUGUAAAAUAAAACGUGUAGUAGUGAAUGGACGCUGUGGAUGCGGAUAGGGAUCAAGUUCAUGAGACCGAGGUCAAGUUUAGUUUAGUGUAUAGUUGAUAUUUAGACAUCUAGCAAUUAUUUGAGAGGUGAUAAUUGAGAUUUUGUUGAAUUAAUGAACUACUAUCUUCUACUAAUGAGAGGUACCAUCUUCAAUCAAUCUUUAAAUUUGCCACAAUUAGCUAUUCAUAUGCAUCCUUGUGAUGCCAUUAAAAAGUUUUGUCCACGAUGCAUCCCACCUAAAUUUGUGUCUGAGCUCCGCCACUGCCAUUAGGGCGUCCCUAGCGGGACUGGCGAUUUCGCCGGCUGACACGUUACUGAGAAAGAAUAGAAAAACAAAAACUCUAAAUGUACUGUGCAGAAAGGUGAAUGUGCGCGAGACAAGAGACAACAUAUUGUUCGAAAACUGUGUGAGACUAGCGCUAAAACAAUCGCUAGCUAUUCAUUUUUCAGCCCCCUCUCGCCUCCAUGUUGGAUUCUGGCACUCAAAUCGCUAGUCCAAAUCUCCUUGUUGGGAACCUAUAGCCCAUUGACACUUACUGCCCCCUCUCACCUUUAUGUUGGAUUCUGGCACUCAAAUUGCUAGUCUAAAUCUCUUUUAUUGGGGGCGCCCAUAGGGAAUCUAUAGCCCAUUGACACUUACUAAGAGCUAGUACUUUUCACCAUACCAAGGCCUUGUUUAGUUCCAAAAAUUUUUGCAAAAUCGACACUGUAGCACUUUCGUUUGUAUUUGACAAAAAUUAUCAAAUCAUAUACUAACUAGGCUCAAAAGAUUCUUAUCGUCAAUUUCGACCAAACUGUGCAAUUAGUUUUUAUUUUUAUCUAUAUUUAAUACUCCAUGCAUGCGUCUAAAGAUUCGAUGUGACGGGAAAUCUGAAAAAUUUUGCAAAAUUUUUUGGAAACUAAACAAGGCCCAAGUGACGAAAAAGGAACGAAAACUUCAAUCCCCUGGUGCCCAUCUACCGCACAUCGCGACAUGUCGGAAACGUGGUGGCUGUUUGCCUGUUUACACGAACAAGCAAGCUGUGGUUGUAGCUGUACACAUCGCGAGGAUGUUGAUGUCGAUGACAUCUUCCGGUACCACUUAGCUAUGGCAAAUUUAAUUUCUUAUUGCGUUUUUCACAGCACGAUAACAUACAUUCCAGACUUUUUUUUUGUCCGAACAAGUUCUAGUUUUUGGCAUGGACAUUCACGCUAAUUUCUCAUUGCGUUGAGGGAAGAUAGUAUAGUGUGGCGAUGGACGACAGAUGGUGAAUAUUCUUCAAAAAGCGCCUAUUGCAUUCAGUUCGAAGGAACCUUCUCCAAGCUCAAGUUGAUGCCCAUCUGGAAAGCUAAAGCAGAACCAAAAUGCAGAUUCUUUGCGUGGACCUUGUUGCAUAGAAAAAUAUUGACGGCCAAUAAUUUAAUCAAAAGACAAUGGCCAAAUGAUCCUAUAUGUAAGCUCUGUGGGAUUGAGCCAGAGACUCCCACUCACUUGUGCAAGGAUUGUAUCUUCACUAAGCAUGUUUAGACAUACUUGAAGACCUGGUUUGGGCUAUCGGUGUUGGACACGGUCAACAUGAAUGGACCCCUCCAUAAUUUUUGGCGAAAAUGCAGACUCAAAGUUGCCAAUACACUUAGAAGAAAGUUCGAUGGACUCUUCAUUUAUUUUUGGUGGAACAUCUGAAAAGAACGCAAUAGAAGAAUUUUUCAGAACAAAAGUUUGCAACCGAGGGAGGUGGCCUUUCUUUGCAAAGAGGAGUUUGAUCAGUUUCAACGGGCCAACAUUCCUAGUAAUUCUGUGAUGACUUAAUUUAGAGAAAAUUUUGGAAAGCUACACUUAAAGCUCGGCCUGUCUAGUGGUAGUGGGAUGGAGUUUCUUUUGGUAGUUUUUUGCUAGUGUUCUGGUGGGGUUCGUGGAGUGGAGCCUACGGGCUGUUUGUAUGUAAUUUGUAUACUCUUUUGUUUUUGUUUUCCUUACUCGUCUAAUAAAAAUCCGGCAAAAGCUUUUUGCCGUCUUUCGGAAAAAAAAUUUCUCAUUGCGUUUUUCACAGCUCGAUAAUAACAUACAAUCCAGACUUUUUGUCCCGACGAACAAGUUCUAGUUUUUGGCAUGGAUAUUCACUACUGUUAGUUCUUCGAUGCAGAGAAUCCAACCAGGUAAAAUUUUGGCGUCCAGCAAUCUAGCCAUCAACCCACCUUACCAUCUUAGCUUGUAGCCAUCGGCCGUACGGAAAUACCAAGCGAAUGCAGUUCCAGAUACGUUUGAAAUGCGGGAAACUUUCUAUAUUAUUCCUCAAUUUUUCUUAUGAAAUGGAACCGGUUACUGUGAAAUUUCUGCAUGAUUACAGCGUUCCCAGACAGGAACUAGCGAAGUGUUUACGGAAGUGAUGCCCUCCGGCCAAUAUCACAUCAUCGGCGUUCUAGUUUUUGCUGGACGAUCUAGUAUAUAUUAUGCGUUCUAGUUUUUCCCACGAUCUAGUAUAUAUUAUGCGUUCUAGUUUUUUAUGGACGAUCUAGUAUAUUAUGCCCUCCGGUACAGAAUACUGCAAUACUUUCGCUCAGCUAUUGGAUGAACGUGUGGGCUGCAUUUUUCCCACGAAAAUAAAUUAGUUCCUGUGAAAUUCCUGUAUGAUCCUUAUAAAAUUCCUCUAUGUCUUUGUGAAGUUAACUAUUCGAUUAAAACUCCCGAUUAAUUUUAUUCACUUGAUAUAAUCAUUGAUGUACCAAGUAAAUUUUAAGGAGCUUUUUGGACAUAAGCAUCUCCAAAAGCUCGUCUAAAGUCACUUGGUAAAUUAACUAAUAACUAUGCCAAGUGAAUAAAAUGAAUUGGGAGCUGUAUUGGAAACCCAUCUAAUUUGAACUAAUAGCUAGGAAGCAUACGUUUAGUUAUCUAUAGAAGUUUUAGUUGGGGGUAUAAGCACUCCAUAGCUAAAUUUUAGCUGGAGCUAGCAAAUAGUUCUAGGUCAUCCAAACAGACUCAGUCUGGAUCAUACAAGGUCUUAGUUCCCCUGCUUGGGCCCCUGAAACUGAAACUUGCCAUGUUGGAUUAGGGCCUUUGUUGGGCUUACCAUGCACUGGUCAAGCCGGUCCAGGAACUCAGUCCGGCAGUGGCACAUUGGUUGCAGCUAUGGGCUAGGCACGACACAAUUCUGUCUGCAUGUAACGGGUAACGGCUUGUUUCCGUGAUCAAAGAAAUGCUGCUGUACUGUACAGAUAAGGUGAGAUCCUUAAUAGCGUAUUUGUUUUGGGAAUGAACUGGGUUUUUGAGACAAACUUGUUGACUCACAGAGGAGAGGCGGUCUUGAGUGCAAAUUGACAGACCAACAACACCCACCUCGUUUAACCAUUUAUUUACUCGUUUGGAGAGGCCCGCCACCUCUGUAAAGCACCCUUUAGUUUUCAAAAAAAAAAUUGUCUCAUUACAUCAAAUAUUUAGACACAUACAUAAACUAUUAAAUAUAAAUUAAAAAAACAAAUUGCAAGUUUGUAUGUAUUUUUGCGAGACGAAUCUUUUAAGUCUAAUUAGUUUAUGAUUGGACACUAAUUGUUAUAGUUACAAAUGUAUUACACUACUGUCGGUGUCUGGACUCGGGGUCCAGGCACUAACAAGUAAUGAGUCUGCCUGCCCCCCCUAACCCGAAUGGUGAUGCAAGAAAACACAGAGGGUUUAUACUGGUUCGGGCCUAAGAUGCCCUACGUCUAGUGAGAGAGUUGAGGUCUGUGUUGCCUUAAACCCGAGAGUGCUUGUAGUAGGGGGAUACAAGCUGGUUGCGAGAGAGAUGUGUCCUAGGUCUCGGCUUUAUAAAGUGAGUGGAGGGGUGCUCAGUAUCCUGAGUCCCCUUUCUCUACGUGAGUGGAGUGAAGAGUGUGUUGCUUGAUGAGCUAUGCCUGUGCGUUGCGUUUGUGUGCUACACUUGUCUCUUGUAAAGGGCCCUUGCCUCCCCUUUUAUAGCCACAAGGGGUGGUAGGGCUUUUACAUGUGUAAAUUUGUAACUUAGUGUGCCGUGAUGUAACAGUGCCGACCCUGUGGAGAUCGGUUGCCUUGUCCUCGGGGCAUGGCUGAUGGCGUGGUCGUCCCUGUGGAGCAUCGCCGAGCCCUGUUUGGAUCGUGGAGGUCGGGUCUAAGGCGCUGUGACUUGUCCUGUAAUAGUAGAAUAGUAACUGCCAAAGCAUGGUUACGGUGGCAGGGGUUAAUCUCCUCUCAUUCCUCCUACUGUCGCGCAAUGCCUCACAGUGACAAAGGUAAGGCGCCACAGUGAUGGGAGUUGUUGGAACAGUGGUCGACAUGCCCUGCUGCAGUGUGGGGGGCAUGGUGCACGUCGCAUCAGGGGUACGACCACCGUGCGUUGGAAGCCUGAUGCCGAGGAUGAGGCUCGGGCGAGGCGUUGAUUGCGCUCGAGGCCGGGGCUCGGUCGGGGCGGGGAUUGCGUCCGAGGCCAAGGGCUCGAGCGAGAUGGAGAUUGCGUCCGAGGCCAAGGGCUCGGGCGAGAUGGAGAUUGUGCCCGAGGCCAAGGGCUCGGGCGAGACGGAGAUUGCGCCUGAGGCAGAGGGCUCGGACGAGACGGAGAUUGCGCCCGAGGCGGAGGGCUCGGGUGUCACCUUUAUUCUUUUUGCCACUUUUUAUUUUCUUACUUUGAGUAUCCCGGUUUAUGGUACCCUACAAGUACCUAAAAACUUUUCUUUUUUUGACUAAACAAGGCCGAGAUCCUCCAUUGCCUCUGUAAUAGAUGGAUUUACAGAGAUACCACACUUAGAACAUCCUUCUUUAUUAUCAUAUUUACAUAAAGGAAUUGUCAAAAAAAAACAUAUUUACAGAAAGGACGCCGUAAGCGGCCUAUCUUUGUGAAAUUUCUACUUAAACGGGACAGGCCUUCGAAAGGCUUGUGAGGCAAAAUUUUGAUGCUAUACUGAAAGGAUCAAGAUGCCCAAGAGGGGGGGGGUGAAUUGGGCUUCUCUAAAAAUUUAAGCAACCUAUAAGCUCCAAUUCAACCCCUUGUGCCUAGUGUGACUUAGAGAGCUACCGGAUAAAAGUUUUGCAACCUAGUUCCAAUCCUAUUCUAGCAUGGCAAUUCUAAGAAUGUAAAAACACAAAGUAAAUGCUAGAAAGUAAAGGAGUAGUGGAAGAAAAUGCUCGGCGAUGUUUUGCCGAGGUAUCGAAGAGUCGCCACUCUCCACUAGUCCUCGUUGGAGCACCCGUGCAAGGGUCUUGCUCCCCCUUGGUCCGCGCAAGGACCAAGUGCUCUCUACGGGCUGAUUCUUUGACACUCCGUCGCGGUGAAUCGCCCAAAACCGCUCACAAGCUUGACACGAGCCACCCACAAGAACUUCGGGUGAUCUUCGUGCCUCCAAUCACCACCGAACCGUCUAGGUGAUGGCGAUCACCAAGAGUAACAAGCAAAGAACUCUCACUUGACCCAAACAAGGCACUAGAGAGUGGUGGAUGCACACUUGACUCUUGGAACUCACUAGAGGAGGAUUCUCUCAAGAAAUCACUCAAAACUCAAUCCUCUCUAGGCUCUUUGCAACUCUCUUGCUCCACAACAAGUUUCUCUGAUGUUCAAAUGGGCAAGAGUGGUCUCAUGGACGAGGUGGAGGAGUAUAAAUACUAUCCACAACGUCCAAAGGUCGGCCAACCGUUUUCCACUGAAAACGGGGUCACCGGACGCACGUUAUGUUGCACCGGACGCACUGCAUCGAGCGUCCGGUGUGACAUAACGGCUACCUGCACUUUUCUCUGACAGGUCACCGGACGCUAACUCCCAGCGUCCGGUGCUCGGGGAAACUUUACAUGCUCCCUGCGCAUGGGACCGGACGCUACCCGGUGCGUCCGGUGCUAGCGUCCGGUGCUCAGGGGAACUUUGCAAGCUCCCUGGGUAAGGGACCGGACGCUGCCCGGUGCGUCCGGUGCCAGCGUCCGGUGCCUAACCCUAAGCACCAAACUGUUCCAACGGCUAAGGAUCUCACCGGACGCACUCACAGAGCGUCCGGUGCCCCUUUGGGCACCCAAACUUCGUCGAAACGCGAUCGCUCCAAAACGAAGUUGGUUCCUCUCGAUCUAAGGACUAUCUCUGAGCUGCCUAGUUCUAGGUUUAACAAGUGUGCACCACACCUAAACCUAAAGCCUUGUCUAAGUCAAGCUACUAUAUCAAAGCCCCUCUUAAUAGUACGGUAAAAGGAAAACAAAGUCCUAAACUACUCUAAGUGCCCUUCUUCGCCAUAUGGCACUUAGACAUAGUCUAGUCUUGACGAUGUCCAUCCAUCCUUUGAAAACCGAAAACGAUUUCCACUAUUAAGUAGGCAUGUACGUCCCUGUCCAUCGAGUACCUAUAUACCAUGACCUUACCUAUGACUUUGCCUCUGCAAAACACACGUUAGUCAUAGUAAUCAAUAAUGUCAUUAAUUACUGAAACUACUAGGGGCCUAGAUGCUCUUUCACUAUACAUAGUUAUAUUCUAAGAGGAGGGAGCUAAGUACUAAUACUUUGUGGCAAUAAAUUAGUGUGAGUUGUUGUUUUGCAUAAAUAAAUUUAUGAGUUUUGGCUAAAACAUUGAAAUUAUUCAUAUUGAGAGAUUUAUUGUAAGCAUUCUAUUUUUUGUAAAACAAAAUGUGCUACUACAUAUACACAUAGUUUGUUGGUGGACGAAAUUAAACAUAUUAAUUGCUGAGGUGCAAAAUGGAAUGAUUGUUUGUAAGUAAGACAAAUUUUACGAUCUACAAUCCAUAUUUACAUUAAAAUACAAAAUAUGAGUUUUUUUAAUAAAAGAUAAGAUACACGCCGGAGUUUUAUUAUAAAAUUACCAUAACUAAUAAAAUAAUUUUUUUAAACAAAAUAGAUUCAUGAAUUAACCACAUAUGGGUAAUUAUAGGAAAGGGGCCAAGGUUUAUGGUCCAUGGGCAGACGAGGAGUUAGUCCAUUAUAGACAAAAAAAAAAAAAACAAAAACGAGCCGAUAGAGUUGGGCCAAUUUCUACAUGAUAUUUUGGCACUGGGCAGUUCGGCCCGAUGCCGCCCUUCCUUUCUUUGCCUCUGUCUGUCCCUCGGCAGUCGGCUGUCAGCAAACAAGUUGUUUUUAAUGGUGAUCAAGAGCAGGGCACUUGUGAUAAACUCUAGGUAUGGCCGCCAUACCGAACAGUACUUUUAACUAUGUCAACAAUAGCUGCAGCGGAGGGCGACCUGGGGGCGACGAUAGCAGAUGGCCGGUACAUGGGGGAGGUCAUGGAUGGGCGGAGCCGGGGGUGGGGGAGGAGGCGCAGGGAGGGUCGGUGAUCGGGGGCAGCAGCGGAGGGACGGCUAGUGCAUGCCGACAAGGGCCGGCGGAGGGAUCAGACGGUCAUGGACGGUCAAAAAAAUUCGGUCGCUGCGUUCUCCCAACACAACCACAUGACGGAUAGAAAUUCUCAAUAAUUACUCAGCAAGCUUCUAGUCAGUAAAAACUAAAAACAGAUGUUACUAAGCAUUUCACUAGUUGGACCAAACUAGGUAACAAAAACUAAUAUUAGCUAGGAACUAUAUUAGUACUUAGAUAACUAUUAGCAGCUAAUGGACUGAAAUAGUAUCUAAGUAAAACAAUAAUCUCCAUUCUCAAAAACGAAGUAAAAAUAGAGAGUUGCUCCGAGAUUUCUGUCAACAAAUUCCUUGGAGGAGAUAUGUCGAAUUUGUAGACACAUGAUCUUGCCGUAUCAUCUUCAUUCUCUCACGGUGUAUCUGAUUCCCGAUAGAGUUAGGACUAGAGUUAGGAAUUUUUGGGCCACACUAUCACCAACAUUUUUUUAGUGAUGGGCUAUGCUAUAAAAACAAUUUAGAAGACCAAUGGUUGAGGAAAUAGCAGCGGCAGGGAUCUCUCGCUUGGAGGAGGCCGUUAGUUAGGAGGCUUUUACAUGUAUGUGAUUAUAAAAGUACUCCCUCCAUCCCAAAUUAUAAGUCAUUCUAAAAAUCUUGGAGAGUCAAACUUUUCUAAGUUUGACCAAAUUUAUAUUAUAAAAUAAUAAUUAUUAUGGUAUUAACUAAGUAUCAUUAGAUUCUUUCUUAAUUAUAUUUUCAUAGUAUAUUCACUUUAUGUUACAAAUCUUAGUAUUUUUCUCUAUAAUUUUGGUCAAACAUGAAAAAACUUUGACUCUCCAAGAUUCUUAGAAUGACUUACAAUUUGGGAUGGAGGGAGUAGUAAUUACCUACAAAUCAUUAAAAAAGUUGAGCUCUCACAGGUGUCACUACUCCGAACUCUUUUACCCUCUACGCUACUUCUGUUAGAUUUGACUCUAACGGUGUUAAACUGCAUGCAUGAAAAGUUAAAAAUACCCUCAUAUCUAAAUAUAUAAUUAAUUUUUUUGAACAUCUUAACAAUCUCAAAUGAAAAACUCAAAACUAGAAAGUCGUAGAUCUCGUCGAGAUCUACAAUAUUUAUAUAAAAAUAUUUUUAUUUGAUUUUAUAUAAACAAUAUUUUUUUCUAAGACAUAUUAAUCAUAUCAAAUCAUAUAUUUUUUGUAUGGAAUUUAAUGAAAAUAAUUAUUAUACAAAACUUACAGAUAUUGUCGAGAUCUACAACUUUGUAGUUCUGAGUUUUUUCAUUUGAGAUCAUUAUGAUGCUAAAAAAAAUUAAUUACAUAUUUAGCCUUGAGGGUAUUUUUGACUUUUUACACUCGCGGUUUGACACCAUUAGAAUCAAAUUUGACAGAAAUGGUAUAAAGGGCAAAAAAGUUUAGAGCAGUGGCACCUGUGGGAGCUCAACUUUAUUAAUGGCUUGUAGGUAAUUACCAACUUUUAUAAUGACAUAUAUAUAUAAGCCUUGUUAGUUAUUUGUUCCUUGAUCCCAUGGUCCCAAAUUACAAAAUAGUAAUCUAACAUGUAAUGUAUUUUUUUAGUUAUAAAAAUACAUGAGACCCAGCCAUAGAUAAACAGCCAUUCAAUGCCUUCUUCAAAGGAGGCAAAUUGUUAUGCCAAUGUGGACUAGGUUUCGUCAAAGGUGGACGGACACGUACCUCUUGUAGUGGCAAAUACGUACCUGGUCAAGUUGCUGUGUCUAGCCCUGGUCCAUCUCCACACGUGACUGACAUCACUAGUCCGCUGAUGAACCAAAAACCGCCGCCCACCGAGAUCCCUCACCCCCUAGGCCUUGUUUAGUUCAUCGUGAAAACCAAAAAUUUUUUAAGAUUCUUCGUCAAAUCGAAUCUUACGGCACAUGAACCAUUAAAUAUAGACGAAAACAAAACUAAUUACACAGUUUGUUUGUAAAUCGUGAUAUGAUUUUUUUUGAUCCUAAUUAGUCUAUGAUUGGACAAUAUUUGUCACAAACAAACGAAAAUGCUAUAGUAGCGAAAUUCAAAAAAAAUUCACAUCUAAACAAGUCCCUAGUUUGGCUGUUCCUUGUUGCUGCACUCAAUCAGUCAACAAAAGCUUCUCUGCCUCCUCUCCCUGUGUUGUGCUUUGUGUUUCUUGUUCAGACGCCCAAACGCCAAAACAUCAUUAGUAAACACAAACAAGUCACCUAUGGUUGACAAAAUUAAAAGACGGCAUAUUCCGAACGACAGAUUAUUCGUGGCUGACACGCCGGGCGAAAUAGUUGUCCGUUCAGUCAUCGUACCUUAUUGAUUGAUUUGUCAUCAAUAUAUAUCAAUUGAGGUCGGCAGCUGGAUGCCGGCUGACCUGACCUUGAGUUGUUUGUUCUUAUAAAUUCGUGCCCGUGACCACCAUCGAGCCAGCCAGCCAUUCCCUUGCCCACUUUCCAUUCCUGCUUGCAUGCUAGCAAGAUUCAUCAGGCAACGACGAGACGAGCAGCAGGCUGUGCCGAUGGCCGUCGCCGCCGUGGCAUCAAGAGGAAGCACGGCGGCGCUGUCGUCGCUGGUGCUCCUCGUCCUCGUCCUCGUCCUCGUCCUGGCCUCCUCCGCGCUGCCCGCGUCCCUCGCCGUGACGUCGCCGUACGUGCGGCCGCCGGCGAGGGCCACGCUGCCGCUGCUGCUCCAGGACGACGACGACGCCGACGGCCAGACGCCGCAGCAGGUACACGCGCCGCCGCACAUCUUGCCUUUUGCCAUUGGGCACUAGAGUAGAGAACCUGCCUGCGUGUUCGUUCAGGGAUGAUCUCGCUUCAGUAGUUCAGUUAUCGCAGGAAGUUGCUACCCGAUGCUUGUCAGGUGGUUUCUUUUUGCUAUGUAGUAAUUAACUCGAUCGAUUAUUAGCCUCUUAUAAACAAAAGAAAAACACUGGAUCGAUUAUUAGCCUUAUAGACAAAAAAAAAAAAACACACACACACACUGGAUCGAUUAGGAUGAGCACAAACAAGGGGGGAUUGUCUCUGUUGCGACCGCAUUCAGUGAGUCAAACUCCGAUCAGAGAGAAACAAAAGCAUCCUCCUGAUUCCUGCGUGCGCCCACGAGCAUUCCUUCGUCUUCGUCAUGUGACACACCGUGGCGUUUCUGUUGUUUAUUUAAGGCUUAGGAGUAUACCAUGGUAAUACAGUAUAGGAUAAUACUGUAAUACUAGUAAUCUAGUGCUAGGGAAGUUCAAGGUAGGAAGGAAUUAUUGUGCCUGUCAGCACACUUGGUUGGAUUACUAGGGAGCAGGAACAAAUAUAGUUGAAAUAUGUAGCUCAGCUUGACCUGAUGAUUUGCGUAACUAAGGCUUGUUUAGAAUUUUGAAUUUUGACAUUAUAACAUUUUUAUUUGUAUAUUUGGUAAAUAUUGUCUAACUAUGAAUUAACUAGACUUCAAAGUUUUAUUUCGUAAAUUACAAGAAAGUUAUAUAAUUAGUUAUUAUUUCUAUCUAUAUUUAAUUGUCCAUAUAUGUGUUACAAAAUUUGAUAUAAGGCAAAUCCUGAAAAGUUUUUAAAUUUAGAGCGGUGACCGCCCCACAUAGGCACAGACAGAGACGAGAAGCACGGGACUCUUCUGGGUUUCUUGCUGCUUUCCCAAUUCCCAUUCAUCGUCUCGUCCAUGACGACGCACGUCGUGUUGGCACGCGUGCCGGCUGGGUUCGGCUUAUCUGCUUUGCUGUUUCUUGUGACUAAUCAUGGAUUCAUGGGCGACGCAUGAAUGAAAAAGAAAAAGGAAAAUUAGCUUUAGGUUAGUGUUGCUGAUGGGGCAAUUCAUCGAUCGACCGUCAGUGCUAAUGCAUGCUGCGGUCGUCACAAUCAUAAGCCACGCUUCUUCCGUUUUCUCCGUCUGGAUUGCAAAAUAAUGUUUUUCCUUGGGAAUUCCAGGUGCACAUUUCAAUGGUAGGGCCUGAUAAGGUACGGGUAUCAUGGAUCACCGACGACGACGCGCCGGCGACGGUCGACUACGGCACGUCCUCCGGCGAGUACCCAUUCUCCGCGACGGGGAACACGACGACCUACUCCUACGUGCUCUACCACUCCGGCAACAUCCACGACGCCGUCGUCGGGCCACUCCAGCCCAGCACCACCUACUACUACCGCUGCAGCGGCGCCGCCACCACCACCCCGUCGUCGUCGCGGGAGCUCUCCUUCCGGACGCCGCCGUCCACGCUCCCCUUCAGAUUCGUCGUCGUCGGCGACCUCGGCCAGACGGGGUGGACGGCGUCCACGCUGAAGCACGUCGCCGCCGCCGACUACGACAUGCUCCUCCUCCCUGGCGACCUGUCCUACGCCGACUUGGUCCAGUCACGGUGGGACUCGUUCGGCCGCC
rnacentral:lncRNA from 1 species